GGUACUCAAGAGAUGUAAGGUUUCUCAACCACUCUGGAAGAGCCUCCAUUCCGUCAAAGCAUUGCACUUGGAGACAUGUUAGAGAAGUCAAGUGUUGAAUUUGUUCGGGCAGAGACUUGAGCUUAGGCCAACCCCAUAACUUCAAUGUUUCAAGUUGUGAUGUAACCUGAAAAGCAGGGAAUGAAUCAAGCUCCUUCCAAAAGCCACCGAUUUCCAAUGUCUUCAAGUGGGUGAGGCAGGAUGUUAUUGCUAACCCAUUGGGUAGACUUUUCAAUCCAUCGCAACAAAAUAUCUUCAAUUCAUGGAGGUUUGUGAGGUUGUCUAAACUUGGAAUAGAUUCUACAUUCGGCAACUUGCUUAUUAUCAACACCUCAAGAGAAGAACAUGAUUCUAGCCCUAUUGGCAGACUUGUCAAUCCAUGGGAAUCUUUAAUUCUCAAUUCACGAAGGCAUGUGAAGCCGAGUAAACUUAGAACAGACUCUGGACUCCUGUUGCAACCAAAUAUAGACAACUUCCGGAGGGAUGGGAGGCUGUGAAUCAAAGCUGAUGUUAGCAUAUCACAAUUUGAUAUUGUCAACUCCUGAAGAGAGGUACAAUAAUCUAACCCACUUGGUAGAUUUGACAACUCUGGACAGCCUUUUAUUUCUAAUUUACAGAGGGAUGUGGGGGCUUGUGUAACUGGAAUCAACUGUAGACUAUCGCAAUCUUUCACAAUCAGGUUCUUAAGAGAUGAUGUGAGUAGCCCAUCAGGCAAAUAAGCAAGAAUAGGACACUUGGAAAUAUGCACUGACUCAAGAAAUGUGCAAGAGCCAACUACAUUAUGAGGAGCAAUACUGUUAAGAUUUAGAGACUGUCAUCUCUUCUAUUUCUUGUAUCUGUGUAUUCAAAAUGCUUAUAGAAAUGCAGAGAGAUUACUAGGAGAAAGAAGAGAGAAUUUCAGAGAGAGAGAGAGAGAGCUUGGAGAAGAAGCUGGCCUUGUCUAUUUUGCUCAGCUGCAAUAUCACACAUAUAUUGCUGCUCUGACAAAAUAGUUAGGAAUAGAAUAUUCCACAUUACAUCACUCAAUCCUAGCCACUCAUUAGCUACCCUAUGAGAUAAAGCCAAGUGGCAUAAAUCUGUUACAUUCUCUGCUGCAUACCUGGACUGUGAUCCAGAGCUGCCUUACAGCUAAGAAUAGAACCUUCCUAUUCUAAUUACAUUUCAGCAGUUACACUUAUAUAUCAACACUCCCUUCUAAGUGUUGUGCUGAAAUGACUCCUAGAGCUUUCCUCAGAUAUUCAAACCUAUCUCUUGCUAAAGGCUUGGUGAAGAUAUCAGCAAGUUGCUCUUCAGUUUUGCAAUAUAGUAAAUCAAUCUCACCAUCUUGAAGUGCAUCUCGAAUGAAAUGAAACCUUCGAUUAAUGUGUCUAGUCUUGUGAUGAUGAACUGGAUUCUUCGAUAUAGCAAUAGCUGAAGUGUUAUCACAUAACACUUGAGUUGGCUCUACUUGCUCUUCACCAAAGUCUGACAGUACAAACCUCAGCCAAAUAGCUUGUGCAGUAGCUUCUGCUGCACUAAUAUACUCAGCCUCUGCAGUUGAAAGAGCAACACUGCUUUGCUUGAUUGAAGCCCAAGAAAACACACCUGACCCCAAAUUAAAUGCAUAGCCGGAUGUGCUUCUCAUGUCAUCCUCACUUCCACUCCAAUCACUAUCACAGUAGCCUAUUAGCACUGCCCCUUUUCCCUUUUCAUAAGCAAUUCCAUAAUUCAUAGUACCUUGAAUGUAUCUCAGCACCCUCUUUGCUGUUCCCAUGUGUUUCUUGGUUGGAUUAUGCAUGAAUCUAGCCAAGAGGCUUGCUGCAAACAUGAUAUCCGGUCUGGUUGCAGUUAAGUAGAGCAGACUCCCCACCAUUUGCCUAUACAAAGUCUCAUCAGCUAGAUCACUUCCAUCCACUUUUGACAGCUUUUCAUUCAUAGCCAGAGGUGUUGCAACAGACUUGCAAUCCUUGAGUCCAAACUUGUCUAGUAAAGUCUUUGCAUACUUCUUUUGGUGUAAGAAGAUGCAAGUAUCAGUUUGUAGGACUCCAAGACCAAGAAAGUGAUGAAGCACACCUAAGUCAGUCAUCUCAUAUUGCCUCAUCAUCUCAACUUUGAAUUCAGCCAUCAUUUCUUUUGAACUCCCUGUGUAGAUAAUAUCAUCUACAUAUAGUGACACAAUGAGAAUACCACCUGUAGCCAUCUUAGUGUACAAUGUAGCUUCACUUGGACUUCUAUAAAAACCAGCCUUAAUGAAAUAGGAGUUUAUCUCUUCAUACCAAGCUCUUGGAGCUUGUUUCAAGCCAUAUAAAGCCUUCUUAAGCCUAUACACCUUAUCUUCACUCUCUUGUAUCACAAAACCAGAAGGCUGAUCCACAUAUACUUCUUCAUUUAGCACUCCAUUAAGAAAUGCCGACUUUACAUCCAGCUGAAAUAGCCUCCAAUUUUUCUGUGCAGCUAAGGCACCAGAUUCUCACAGUGUCAAGUUCUAGCUACUGGUGCAAAGGUUUCAUUGAAGUCUAUUCCAGGCUCUGAGAGUACCCCUUUUGCAGCAACAGCGUGCUUGUUCUUCUGCACAAGAGCAUCUAAGUUCAGUUUUGUCUUAUAGACCCACUUCACACCAAUGAUUGGUUUGUCAGAUGGUCUAUUCACAAGCUCCCAAGUGUUGUUUUUGUUUAUCAUCAGAAUUUCAUCCUCCAUAGCUUUCUUCCAGGAUUUGUCCUUUGCUGCCUCUUCAAAGCUCUCUGGUUCUAUGAUGCACAUAUUGCAUUUUUCAUAGAUUUCUGCAAUACUUUUGUACUUGCGGGGUGUGUGAUCAAAAUCCUGGGGGCUAGGCAUCCUUUCUUGAUUACUAGAUUCAGUUCUAGUGUCAACUAUCUCACCUUCUUCUCCUUUUUCUUCAGAGUUGCUGCUGUUUUCUUCUUCUGCAAUUGGAAUCUUCACACUGCUUUCUUUCUGUGUAUUCCAAUCCCAGCUUGCAUCUUCAUUGAACACAACAUCUCUAGACACUAUCAUCUUUUCGGUUUCAAGACUGUAAAGUCUAUAACCCUUCUCACAGCUUCCAUAGCCUAAGAAAAUACAUUUCCUGCUUGUCACAUCCAGCUUCUGCCUUUGUUGACUUGGAACAUGAGCAUAGCACAAUGAACCGAAUACUUUCAGAUGCUUAACUCCAGGCUUCCUUCCACUAUAAGCUUCAAAUGGAGUUCUUUUAUUCAAAGCUUUAGUUGGACAUCUGUUAAGAAUAUAAACUGAUGUGUUAACUGCUUCAGCCCAAAAUUCAAGGGGAAUUUUCUUCUCUAGCAACAAACACUUUGCCAUUUCCACAAUUGUUCUAUUCUUCCUCUCUGCCACACCAUUUUGCUGUGGUGUAUAUGGAGUUGUAAGCUGCCUUUCUAUGCCUAAAUCUGCACAGAACCUAUCAAACUCCACUGAGGUGUAUUCUCCUCCUCGAUCACUUCUAAGUUUCUUUAAUUUGUAGCCACUCUGCAGUUCCACAGUGGCUUUGAAUCUCUUGAAUACACUCAUAGUUUCAGACUUUUGCCUUAAGAAAUAAACCCAACACAUUCUUGUGUUAUCAUCUAUGAAAGUGAGAAAAUAUCGAUUUCCAGCUUUUGUAGUGGUUUGCAUUGGACCACAGAUAUCACUGUGUACAAGUUCUAGGGGAGUUGAUGCUCUGGUGGAAGCUUCUUUCGGAAAUGACUCUCUGCACUGUUUCCCUAGAAUGCAACCUUCACAGACCUCAGUAAUAGCUGUAAUUUCUGGCAGUCCCACAACCAUUUCUUGCUCCUGCAGUAGUUUCAAACUGCUCAUGUUUAGAUGUCCCAAUCUUCUGUGCCAUAUUGCAGUGGAUUGACAAGCACUUGCCUUGUAGGCAAGAUGCAUUUCAGCCUGUAGUUUCACUGGAAAACUUCGAUUUCCUCUCAUUUGUAUUCUUGCAAUCAAGUUGGAAUAGGAACUGUCAUUAUAAAUCUCCACUUUGUGAUCUCCAAACACCAAAUAAUAGCCAUGCUCUAUCAUCUGGCCCACACUAAGCAAGUUUUCCUUUAAACCAGCCACUAGCAUAACCUCUUUAAUGAACUUCUUGCCCAUUUUAGUUUCAACAACAAGGCUGCCCUUACCAGUAACUUCCACAAGCUGUCCAGUGCCCAUUUCAACUUUUGCAGUCACAUUUCUGUCAAUGUCAACAAGUAGAUCCUCCCUUCCAGUCAUAUGAUUGCUACAUCCACUGUCCAAGUACCAUACCUCAUCACCUCCUUUUAUACUAGCAUCAGUUUUAUUGUUGGCAUAAAACAUAGUUGGAGUAGCAUCUACUUGGUUGGCAUAGUUGACUUGCUGUGUUGAUUUCUUGCUGUAACAGUCUUUGGCUAUGUGACCAAAUUUAUCACAAUUGAAACACUUUGGUUUGCCCUUGAAUCGACAUUCUCCAAAGUGUAAUUUGCCACAAUGCUUGCAAGGAUUUUUAGCACCAUCAUUUGCUUUGUUAUCCCACUUCUUGCCUUUUGUUUUCCAACUCUUAUUUUGCUUAGAACUUUGAUCACCAUUUUUAACAGAUUUGGUAUCCACACUGAGACUAGCAAAUGCCUUCUCAGUUUUGCUCUCAGCGUGUCUGUCCAGCCUUAACUCAAAGCUCUUCAAUGAGGCUACAACCUCCUGUACUUCAAUUGUAUUCAAAUCUCUCGAAUGUUCAAUAACAGAACAUAUAGAAUCAUAGGCAGGUGGCAGGCUAAUGAGCAAUUUUUGAACAACUCUGUCCCUAGGCAGUUCUUCACCAUAACUUCGCAUUUGAUUUAUCAAAUCAAAUAGCUUAGUAAUAUAAGCAGUUAAAGUUUCAUCAUCUCUCAUUCUUGUAUAUUCAAACUCUCUUCUAAGACUUUGUAAUUUAACACUUCUUACUUGCUUAUCUCCAUGAUACUCUUGCUACAGGAUGUUCCAGGCACCUUUUGAUGUCUCCUCAUGAGAAAUUCGUGGGAAUAUCUCAUCUGAAACUGCUCCUUGAAUCAAUCCCAGAGCCUUAGCAUCCCUCAUGAGCACCUCAGCAAGUCUAUCUUUUCCAGUACCACUUGAUUCUUCCUUUUCCUUCUUCUUAGCAUCAGAUUCAUCUGACUUCUUCAGAUCUGUGCUAUCAAAACCUUUUAUCACCAAAUCCCACAGUCCAUGAGAUUUGAANNNNNNNNNNNNNNNNNNNNNNNNNNNNNNNNNNNNNNNNNNNNNNNNNNNNNNNNNNNNNNNNNNNNNNNNNNNNNNNNNNNNNNNNNNNNNNNNNNNNAAUUCCUCAAAAACAGCUCCUCAAGGGAAGGAAACAGCACCGCAUCUGGCCAUUCAGUUAGGUUCCUGGCUUUAGAAAUAGUUAAACGUUUCAAUGCAGGAAACGAAUUACUUAUGAUCCAUGAUGGACAUUUAUCGCCCAUAAAGUUGUGGAACUCUAAAAAUUCCAGUUUAUUAGGGUGUGGUUGAAGGCCUUCUAGUACCUCUUCAUCAUUGGUGAUGCUUGACCUGUCCUCCGCCCAUUCAAACAAUAACUGGCAUAUGUUUGUCUUCUCCACUAAUUUUGCUUUCUUGGCUUCUUCACCAUCUCUCACGUGCUCUAGAUUAAAGAUACAUAAUUUGCCUCUUAACAAGUUUAAGUCAGCCAGCUCCUCUAUUCCGCGACCUAUCUCUUUAACCACAAUGAAAUUUCUUAAUGUUCGGAGAUUAGUCAAUCGCCCCAUCCCAGCUAGAAAUUUCAUACCUUGGCGAAAACAAUAAAUGUGUCUCAAGUUUAUCAAAUUUUGCAGUUCCUUUGGACACUCUUUAAGCUGCAGACAAUACAUUCUUAAUGUUUGUAGAUUAUAAAGCUUUCCAAUGGAUUUGGGGAGUGCUUUGAUUUUUGUAUAGGAACAUCCAGAUACCGCAAGUGUGUCAACUUUCCAAUUGAAAUUGGCAACUCCUCAAUAUCAGCUUUAUAUAAAUUUAAGACACGCAAACCUCUAAAGUUUGGUAAGAUAUCACCAAGGCCUUCAAUAUUCAAGAAAAGUGAGCGCAAUUUAUGAGCACUUCUUUCUGGAACUCCCUGUAGCACUGAGGUAGGAAUAUGUGUCAUAUGUCGAGUCUCAUUGGAGUCAUUGCUCUUCCGUUUUGACACAUGUUCUGCGAGAUCAUGCACAAGGUCAUGCAUCUUGCACACUCUAAUAAUACCAUCAUUAUCCUUUAUAACAUCUUGAAAGAAGGAGUUGUUCAAUAGAAUAUUAAAAUAUUCAUUUCCUAUAUCCUCCAUCUCUAGAUUAUGUCUGUUGGGAGGAGAAGGGUAAAGCAAUCCUUGAGCCAUCCAAAGGUUGAUCAAGUCAUCCUUAUAAAUUGGGAAAUCUUUGACAAACAUUGAGCAAUAUGCAAAACAUUGUUUCAAAGAUGGUGGUUUCAAUUCAUCAAAACUCAACUUCAAAACCAACAAGAUUCUAUCUUCUCCUUCCGGUAAAUCCCAUAUUCUACUUUCUAGAAUUGACCGCCAUCCAUUAGUAUCUUUGGAACGCAUCAUAUUUCCCAAAACCUAGUGUACAUUAGAGUUUGAAUUUGUAUUAAAUGAUAAUAAGGUAAAUUGACAAUAAUAGCAAUAUGAAACAGAAGAAGUUAUUGGCACUCCAAAAAAAUCAUCAUGCACCCCUCACUUCAAAUAUUAUAAUCAUAUGUAAUCAUUAAUCCUCUUAUUAGGUCAGUUUCAUACGCAAUUAAUAUUAAGCUGCCAUAAAACUUCAAUAUAUUUGUUCCAUAAGCAAAAGAAAAAAGAAAAAGAAAAAGAAAAAUAUAUAUAUAUAUAUACAUAAAUCAUGAAAUUUCACUUAGAACCCUUGAAGUUUAGCAUAAUUACCGCCAGAGGUAAAACGUGUCAGUUAUUACAAUCACACCCCCUAAAUCUAACGAAAGUUGACUCAACUUAACAGUUGAGAAUAGGACUCAGGACUGUCUCCUUACUUAGGUUUGAAAUAAAAUCACAAAUUAAAAAUAUAUAUUUUAAAAAAAAAGACUUAAAAUUUAAAACUUACAUAUCUUUAUUUCUCCCCCAAAAUCUAAUUGGAUUAAAAAAAUUAAAAAAUAUUUUUAAAAAAAAAACCAACAAAAUCAGCCAUAAACCCCCAACCCUUCAGCCACAAGCAACCUCCCCUACAUACUGAAGUGGUAUUCUGUUCUUUUCUUUUUGGGGAAAAAGUGGCAUUAUGUUGGAGCCUUCUUAUGUAUGUGGUAGAAUGAACUAUAAAAUAGAAAGAACCCCUUCCCACCAAUAUUUUUGUCUUAAAAAAAACUAGUAAGAGAAGAACACUAUCAAUUUCUUGUGGGUUAGAGGUUUAUAAAUGAAGAACAAAUAAGAACAAGAACAAUGCAUGCAAAAAGUACAUCAACACAUACCUUUGCCACUAAUGGUACACCUGCACACUUUUUGGCAAUCUCCCUUCCAAUUCUUUCUUGAUCUUCAGUCAGAACAGCACUCGCAUCUGGAAACGCUUUAUACUUCAAUAUGCGCCAGCAUUGAUCCUCCGAUAGUUUUCCCAAAACACAUGUAUGAAGUGUUUGUACAAUUGAUGAAACACUCACAUUGCGGGUAGUGACAAGGAUUCUGCUUGCUUUAGUGCUUGUAGCAUUCAACAAGCAGCUCAUCAAAUCGUCCCAUUUGUUUAGAUCUUCGUUCCAAACAUCGUCAAGCACAAGAAGAUAUGUCUUCCCUUUCAAAUAUUCUUGCAGGUUUUCACAUAUUGCUGCUUUACGCUUUAUUCCAGCUUUUUCUGGUUUAAGAUAUUCCAAGAUCCCGCUUAAGAUCGUCUUGACUUCAAAAGGAGUAGAUACACAUACCCAUAUUUUUUGAUCGAAGUGUCUACCUAUCUCUGGAUCAUUAUAUACGGAUUUAGCCAAAGUUGUCUUGCCCAAGCCUCCCAUCCCCACAAUGGCCAUAACAGAAAGACAAUUCUCUUGGUUCUUGCCAGAGUUGAUCAGGGUUGUAACUAUGUCCGACGUAACCUCCUUCCUUCCAACAAUGUACUUUUCAUCUUGAUCAAAGUUUGAGACGGUUUCCCUGUCAAGUCCUCCAAUAUCAUGAGAUGUUGCAUUGACCAAUGUUGACCUAUCAACCAGUCCAAUACUAGCUGCCUCAUUCUUCAGGUUUGCCAAAGAUGCAUUGAUGUUUUUAAUUUUAUGUGCCAUUUUGAGACGAAAUGCGAUGGGAUUGUGGCUUGAAAAGAAGUUGAGCACCUUUUUCUUGAUCUGGUUUUGGAUCUCCACUUUCCGCCGGAGAAGUUCAUAUUCAUAUUCAUCCAACACAUCAUCAGCUUCAUGAGCUAUGUCUUCGAGAUCCUUCACCCACAUCUCCACCCUCUCACCCCGAACUUGUAAACGUUGUGCAUCUCUUAGCAUAGCUUCCAACUUGGAUAAUGAGUCUCGUAGACUUGUUAGCUCUCCUUUGAAUCCCCAGAGAAGACUGACUUCCUGCUCUGCAAGUGAAGCCACCCUCGUCAGAACUCCCUCAGCACCAAAAGUAAGAAACUCUGCAGCCAUAUUUUGUGUCAGUGUUGCUCAAGACAGAGAAGAGAAGGCUUAGUUUGGGUUAGAAAACUAGAGCAAAAUUGAGGACGCAAUGAAUGUUUUGAGAAGGUUGUGAGGGAUUUGUAGACAAGAAGGUGCGUCAUAUGGCAGGCGUCAAAAGCUAAAAUAAUUUAGGAGAGUCUGGAUUGUCUGGAAUACUUUUGUAAGUUGCAAAUAAAAUAAUUGAUAAUGACAACGUGGUGGGGACCUCGGAUUUCAUGAGACAUUAGGCUACUGAAUUACUUUUCUUGUGUCCGUAGACGCUUUUUGAUUGGUCGAUGAUAUUGUCGUUGUUGAGCAAAUUGUUGAGAAUUAAGCUGCAUACUUAGUUUAAAUCAAGCUGCAGAUGACAAUUCUGCAAAUUGAUAAUGAAGAGAAUGAAGAAAUCAAAGAACUUGGGAACUUCCCAUUUUUAGUAACAGCUAUUAGCGUAGCUAUCUAACGGCUAGUUUUAUUUCCUUUUUUGGAAAAUUCCUACAGCUGUAAUUCCUAUCUUUUUCAGCUGUACCUUGAUAACCAAUUAUAGCCUAGGUGUAAGGAUCGUAGCCUCCAAUGAUUAUGUAUGUAAGAUCCCACAUUAACCAACGGAGAGGGGGUGAUGUGCCUUAUAUGUGCACACCCGCAUCCAUCUAGCACGAGGCCUUUUGGGAGCUCACUGACUUCGGAGUCGUAGGAACUCCGAAGUUAAGCGAGUUGAGAGCUAGAGCAAUCUCAGGAUUGGUGACUCACUGGGAAGUUGCUCGUGAGUUCCCAGAAACAAAACCGUGAGGGCAGAGAGGGGGGCCCAAAGUGGACAAUAUCGUGCUACGGCGGAGUUGAUCUCGGGAUGUGACAAUGUAUGGCUGGAGAUGAGUCCUUGUUACCUAAGAUUUAGGGUCUAAGCUAUUUUGGCAAUAUGUGUCAUGUAUUUGAGUGUGUGUUUGUGCUCAUUUGCAUAGAAUGAAAAUAUACUGAACACUCUUCAUUCUCUCUGUUUUUUCUCUUCUCUAUAUAUAGUUUUUCAUAAACGAUUAUGUCCUUGCUCAAAUAACAAAAAUCCUCAAACAAUAGUCACAUAUUCAACAUGGUACCAGAGCUUCUGGUUUGAUUCCAGAGAGGGGCGUGAGCUGUGAGAGAGAAGUCUUUCCUGAAAUUCCUAAAAGGGAUAAAGGUUGCACUUUUAUUGUGUGGUUCACUGAGACUCACAUAAAAAUGGUGGGAUCAGGUUCUUCAAGUGGAGAUUUACGAACUCCACAGUUUGAUGGUGCAAACUAUGAUUUUUGGGCAGUCAAAAUGAAAACUAUUCUCAUAGCAUAUGAUCUAUGGGAUGUAGUAGAGGUUGGAGUACAAUCACAACCAAUUCUUGAGGAGGAGGAAGGCUUUGGAGGUGAAGGAAGUGAGUCUGAGCAAGUUCCAAUGGAAGCACCUACUAUCUCCAGAGAAGAUAAGAUCAAAAAUGCCAAGGCAAUGAGUCUUAUUCAAGGAGCACUAACUGAUGAGCUCUUUCCUCGCAUAAAAAAUGAGAAGAUUGCAAAAGAAGCUUGGGAUACUCUGAGAAGAGAGUACAGAGGAGAUAAAAAGGUAAGAGCUGUAAAACUCCAAGCUGUUAGAGUAGAUUUUGAGUAUAUGAAUGACAGAUGGUGAAAGCCUAGAUAGCUAUUUAUCUAAGUUUUUUGGAACUGUGAAUAAUUUGAAAUCACUUGAUGAAGAUGUGUCUGAAACAAGAAUUGUGCGAAAAAUUUUGAUGAGCCUAAGUAGAAAAUAUAAGUCCAUUGUGUCUAUCAUUGAAAAAACUCAAGAUCUUGAUGUUCUUAGAGUUGAAGAAGUUAUUGAAUCUGUCAAGGUCUAUGAUAAAAGGGAAGACUUACAUAAUGAAAGGGAUAAAUUGACAGGAACUGAGAAAGCUUUUAGCAGUCUCAAGGUUGGGAGUAACCAAGUUACUGGUACUAAUAAAAGUUCACAGAGUAGACCAAAUCAAAAAUGGCAGCUACAAAAUAAAAAUGGCUCAAAUUGGUCUCAAGGUGGAAACUUUAACAACAACAAUGGCUCAAACUGGAAUAAUGGCUCUGGGGGGGAACUGCAACAAUAGUUUCAAUUCACAAAACAAGCAAGGAAGUAGCAGCCAAGGUGGUGUGAAACAGUGUGCCAGAAAUACCACUUUGGUGUGUGUAGAUACAAAGGGAAACCUAAGUGUGCCAAAAUGUAAUCUUUUUGGUCAUACUGCAAAAGAUUGUGAAGGUAACAAGCAAGUGGCAAACUGUGCAAAGGAGGAAGAGGUAACCACAGGCACUAUGUUCUAUGCUUGUCACUCUGCAAGUGUGAAAAAUGGAAGUGUUUGGUUUGUGGACAGUGCCUGCAGCAAUCACAUGACUUCUCAAGAGUCUGCAUUGAUAAAUAUAGACAGAACUGAGACUUGUAAAGUUAAAAUGGGCAUUGGAGAUAUUGUGCAAGCAACUGGGAAAGGCACUCUUGUAGUUGAAACUCAAUGUGGGAAAAGAUACAUAAAUGAAGUAUUGCUAGUGCCAAGCUUGGAUGAGAAUUUAUUGAGUGUAGGUCAGAUGAUGGAGCAUGGUUACUAUGUUCUUUUUGGAGAAAACAAAGCAGUGGUAUUUGAUGAUAGCAGUCUUAACAAUGUGGUAGCAAAAGUGCCUAUGGCAUGAAAUAGAUGUUUUCCUUUUUCAUUAGAAUCAAUGAUGUAGCAAGAAAAGCAUCUGUGGUUGAAGACUCUUGGAUAUGGCAUAGAAGACUUGGGCAUUUGAACUUUGCUAGUAUGAAAAAGAUGCAGCAUAAGGAAAUGGUGGUUGGACUACCUGAGCUAACACAAAUGAAAGAUGUGUGUGAAGGAUGUGUCUCAGGGAAGCAGCAUAGAGAAAAGUUUGACAAAGAGGAAGCAUGGAGAGCAAGCUGUCCACUAGAGUUGGUGCACACAGACCUAUGUGGACCAAUGCAAAAUGAGUCAAUUGGUGGAAAUAGGUACUUCAUCACAUUUAUUGAUGAUUUCUCAAGGAUGUGUUGGGUAUAUUUUCUCAGAAACAAGUCUGACACCUUCAACGUGUUCAAAAAAUUCAAAGCUUUUGUUGAACAGCAAAAUGGUUACAGUUUGAAAAAACUAAGAAGUGAUAGAGGUGGGGAAUACACCUCACAUGAGUUCCUAGAUUAUUGUGCAAACAUGGGAAUGGAGAGGCAACUAACCAUUGCCUACUCUCUUCAGCAAAAUGGAGUUGCUAAAAGAAGAAAUAGAACAAUUGGAGAAAUGGCAAGGUCCAUAAUGACUAAGAAAGGUAUCCCUGUGAUUUUUUGGGCAGAAGCUGUAAGCACAGCAGUAUAUCUUCAAAAUAGAUGUUUUACAACAUGUGUCAAGCAAAACACCAUUUGAAGCAUUCACAGAAAGAAAGCCAGGAAUCAAGCAUCUGAAAGUGUUUGGUUGCAUCUGUUACACACAUGUCCCCUCACCUUUGAGGCAGAAAUUUGAUGACAAGGCUAGAAAGGGAGUGUUUAUGGGGUAAGGAAGCUGUGAAAAGGGUUAUAGGGUGUAUGAUCUGCAAUCUAAGAAGAUUUUACUCUCAAGGAGUAUAAUUUUCAGUGAAGACAAGUCAUGGAAUUGGAAGAGUAAUCAAGAGGAAUUCGUUCCAAUGCCUUUCAACCUUGAAGGAGAUGAAACUGAAGGUGAAAACAAUGAAAUACAACCUGAUGGAACUCAGUUUGACAAUGGUGGAAGUUCUUAUCUAGACUCCACAGUUGAUGAGCUAGUUGAGAAUGUAAGUGGUAAUAACAAUCGAAACUCCACACCUAGUUCCACUCCAGUCAAGUUGAAAACUCUGGAAGAUAUAUAUGCAAGAUGUCACAUGUGCAUUAUAGAACAGAGAAUUACCAAGAAGCAGCUGGUGAUUUAGGUUGGCAAGAAGCUAUGCAUGCAGAGUUGGAAAUGAUAGAGAAGAACAAUACUUGGGAAGUGGUUGAGAGACCAGCAGAUGAACCUCUUAUAGGUGUGAAAUGGGUGUUUAAAACCAAGCUUAAUUUGGAUGGAACAGUUCAAAAACAUAAGGCCAGACUUGUAGCAAAAGGGUAUGCACAGAAACCUGGAAUUGACUACAAUGAAACCUUUGCACCAGUUGCAAGGUUAGACACAAUUCGAACUCUCACUGCUCUUGCAGCACAAAAAGGAUGGAAGUUGUUUCAGUUAGAUGUUAAGUCAGCAUUCCUAAAUGGUGUGCUCGAUGAGGAAGUGUAUGUAGAAUAGCCUGAAGGUUUUGAACUGAAAAAUGCAGGUCACAAGGUUUACAAGUUGAGAAAAGCCUUGGAUGGACUUAAGCAGGCUCCUAGAGCCUGGUACAGUGAGAUUGAUGCAUAUUUAUCUAUGUGCAAGUUCAAAAGAAGCAUUAGGGAAGCUACUUUGUACACUAGAUCUGAUAAUGAAGGAGGGUUGAUCAUUGUCUCAAUCUAUGUUGAUGACAUUGUUUAUACUGGAAACAGUGAGAGGAUGCUUGCUGAGUUCAAAAAGGAGAUGAUGCAGAGAUAUGAAAUGUCAGAUCUUGGACUCCUUCAUCACUUCUUGAGCAUGGGAAUACUACAAACUGAUCAAGGGGUUUUCAUUCAUCAAAGCAAGUAUGCCAAAUCCUUGCUUGUGAAGUUUGGGCUUGAAGACUACAAACCAGUAUCCAUUCCAUUGGCUACUAGUGAGAGACUCAAGAAACUGAAUGGGAGUGAGUUAGCUAAUGAAGGACUUUACAGGAAAAUAGUAGGAAGUCUACUAUACUUAAAAGCAACUAGACCUGAUCUAAUGUAUGCUGCAGUUUGCUAUCAAGGUUUAUGACCAGUCCUACAAAGAAGCAUAUGGGAGUUGCAAGAAGGGUUCUAAGAUAUGUGCAAGGAACUCUUAACUAUCGCAUUGAGUAUGUGAAGGAUAAGUCUGCAAUUCUCAUUGGAUUCAGUGAUGCAGAUUGGGCAGGUAGUGAGGAUGAUAGCAGAAGCACUUCUGGGUAUACAUUUAACUUUGGAAGUGGAGCAUUCUCUUGGGCCUCUGUGAAACAAAAUACAGUGGCACUAUCAACAGCUGAAGCUGAGUAUGUCUCAGCAUAUUAGGCAACAGCACAGGCUAUUUGGUUAAGGUUUGUUCUUGAUGACUUUGCUGAAAUGCAAACUGAGGCAACACCUCUAAUCUGUGACAAUAUGUCAGCAAUUUCUAUGGCUAAGAAUCCAGUUUUUCAUCAAAGGACUAGACACAUAAACAGAAGGUAUCAUUUCAUAAGGGAGGCUCUACAAGAAGGGGUGAUUAACAUGAAAUUCUGCAGAAGUGAAGAACAACUUGCAGAUAUUUUUACAAAAGCAUUGCCUAAAGACAGAUUUAAUCAACUAAGGUUGAAGCUUGGAGUUAAGCCAGUAAGCAGCUUAGGAGAGGCUGUUGAGAAUUAAGCUGCAUACUUAGCUUAAAUCAAGCUGCAGAUGACAAUCCUGCAGAUUGAUAAUGAAGAGAAUGAAGAAAUCGAAGAACUUGGGAGCUUCCCAUUUUUUGUAACAGCUGUUAGCUUAGCUGUCUAACAGCUAGUUUUAUUUCCUUUUUGGGAAAAUUCCUACAGCUGUAAUUCCUAUCUUUUUCAGCUGUACCUUGAUAACCAAUUAUAGCCUAGGUUUAAGGAUCGUAGCCUCCAAUGAUUAUGUCUGGCUGGAGAUAAGUCCUUGCUACCUAAGAUUUAGGGUCGGAGCUAUUUUGUCAAUAUGUGUCAUGUUUUUGAGUGUGUUUGUGCUCAUUUGCAUAGAGUGAAAAUAUACUGAACACCCUUCAUUCUCUCUGUUUUUUCUCUUCUCUAUAUACAGUUUUCCAUAAACGAUUCUAUCCUUGCUCAAAUAACAAAAAUCCUCAAACAAUAAUCACAGAUUCAACACAAAUAAAUGAAAGUUGUUAAUAUUUUAAUCCCUAAACGACAAAUUUGCAUGUCAUUAGGUUCCAUGAGGAGCACUUGCCCUUAAACAAUUAUUAAAAGAUGCUAAGUGCUUAAUAAUCUUUUUGAAGCAGUCAAAGCUGGACAAACAUUAUUUUAACUCUAUGUUCAAUUAUUUUGAAUUUCGAUUGUUUAAUAAAAUUUUAAUCCAGAGUCUUUGAUAAUGAAUACACGUCAAAACAUAUGGAAUAAAGUAAUGUUAUGUUACAUUACAUUGAAACGAAACAAAAUAAUAAGGAUGUGUUUUAGUUAUAAACACAAUGGCAUAUCGUAGCACUGUGUUAGUAUUAUGAUACAAAAUUAUAAGUUAUAAACAGAUUAUCCGAAAUUUUUUCAACAGAAUUAUUUGUUAACACGAAAAUCGAACUUGAAAUCUUUAUCCUUUACCUCAAUUGGGUCUAAUUUAAUGCUUAUUCAAUACUAAAAACACUUCUUGCUACUAUAAUAAUUCUACUAUAUUUAGAGCCAAGACUCAUGCUAAUAAUUCAUUUUGUUCUUGCUCUGCAAAUGAAGCCACCCUCGUCAGAAUUCCCUCAACACCAAAAGUAAGAAACUCUGCAGCCAUAUUUUCUUUCAGCGUUGCUCAAGACACAGAACAAAAUGAUUAGUUUGGGUUGGUUACGUAAUAAAUGUGUGGAAUAAUUGUAUAUGGAAUAAUUGUUGACAGCUUGUGGAUAAGGUUAAGAAUAGGCUUCUUUUUUUUAAGGAAAAGUUAAUUCUUUAAAUUAUCUCUGGAAAAAAGAAAAAUAGAAACAAACAAAAAUGGGAGAAGCAUAAUGGAAAAAUUAGCUGGUGUUGAUCAUCAGACGAGCUGUCUACAUAAUAUAUAAGAUACUUUUUUGUUUAAAUGCAAUAAUUUAGUUUAUACGCAAGUUAAGUUUUGUUUUCAUGUUGCAUGCGUGAUAUUACAAAUUCUUUAUUUCGUUAAAUGUUUUGCCUAUUUGAUUGAGGAGGGGUAAAAUAAUCAAUUCGGAUCCACAUUAGAGAAGAAGAAACUGACAGAAUUUGACAAAAUGACGAAAUUGGAAUGCUUGCAAGUUGGAGGACGGCAUGAACUAAAAAAUGAGUGGGAGGACAGCAGAAACUAAAAAAUGAAUUGGAAGAUCCGAAUGGAGUGAAAACGAAAUCAUUGAAAGUAAAAAUGAAUCCUAACUAAUAAAAGUAGGAACCCCAUAGAAAGAGUUCACAUUCAAUUAUCUGUUGUAAAAUAACUGGAAUAUGUGCGAAUAUUGAGCUGUACGUAAAGUAGAUGAGACACAGCAUUUAACGAGGUUCGGCUAUGCCUACGUCCUCGGAGAGCAGCAGUAGUAACUUUCACUAUAUAAAAUAAUAGGGCUACAACUUUGUGUUUACAAUAUGUAUGGCUCACUCAAUUUUCUCUCUUGGAGAAUUUCUCUCUUGCUCUCUUUCCUCUCAACUCACUCACCCUCAUUCUUCCUUCUCUUCCUCUUCUAUCAUUUCAUCUUUCAUUACAAGCAAAUAUAAUGCCUAUUUAUAGGCAAAGCAAAUGGCUUGGUUUGGUGGGUGUGUGAUUUGGUUUGGUAGGUGUGUGGUUUGGUUUGGUAGGUGUGUGGUUUGAUUUGGUGGGUGUGUGGUUUGAAUGUUAGAGCAUGUGGGCUUCACCCAUUCUUCUUUACAACACUCCCCCUUGGAGACCACAUGUCCCUAGAUUGGUUGCCUCAUUAAAACCUUGCUUGGAGAAAAACCCAGUGAGGUAGAAAACUGAUGGAAGGAAGAAAAAAGAGUACAGCAAUCUGUAUAGCAUACUUCUGGAUGCUCCCCCUGAUUAAUAUCUCCCCCUGAUGUCUUCAUGACUAUCUUUUGGAGUGAGAAUCUUUCGGAGUGAGUGGAGGAUAUAGCCAUUAAUAAUUCUCGUAGUUGAGUAAAUAAAUAUAUUUCCAGUGAGCUAUCUCUAUGUAAAUCAUAGAAAUUUUCAGAGUCCGCGUUUCUAACAAAACUUGGGCUAUUUGUAAGUUCACUUGAAAGAAUAUGCCCGUACAUGGUGUUAUGCGGAGAUAGCAUCAAAUAUACCUCACAUCAUCCCAAAAUGAUGGUGAUGGAGUUGAGCCCUAUCUGGAAAAUAUGAUGUCCGGUCCAAUAUACUUUCGGAAAAUUAUUAAAGUGUCCAAUGGAUAAUCCUCAUAAAAAUGCUUCAAUACUUUCUUAGUAUAAGCAAGAAUCUCGUUGGCAUAAUGCUCGAUCCUUAAGUCGAGACAAAUAUUUCUUGAACUCUUCAGAAGCUUUAAUGUGUUGCAAACACAUUAUAAUCCAUAUACUUACUGAGACAAUUUAUGCACAUUAGUAUUGAGUACAGAUUUUGUGCUUCAGGCACAUGUCCUUCAGGGACUUGCUUCAUGCAAUUUCAAUCCUUUCAAGGAUUUUGUUUAAAGGGAUUAAACUUUAUGACACAUUAUAUAGCUUUAAUCCAGCUAUUUAUACAUCUUUAGGGAAUCGCUUCUGGCAAUAUGCUCUAUGCAUUUAAUACCCCUUAAAGAUAAUAUGUUGGUCUCCGUAAAUGUGCAAUAAAGGGGCACAAUUGAAUUUAUAAAUAUGGAGAAAAUCCAACGUUCGUUAUUUAUGCCAAAAAUAUUGUGUCAUACAAAGUAGGUAUAUUCCCUUCUAUUCCGAACACCCAAGUAUAACUUUCAGUAUUAACAUCUUUUGGGGUUCGUACUGUGGGUUUGUUCUUUCACGUUCAUUCUCAUCUAUAAUGGAAUUACCUCAUUCCAUUUUGGCCAAUGAUAUUGUCGACAUUUAAUAAUUGAACGUGGUUCCAAUUAACACAGCCCAUUGAUGAUUUGAGUAGAGCAAAAAUUGUCAUUCAUCAAUUCAUGAUCUCACCAUUCUCAUUUGCAUGCGCAUGCAUCAAUUAUAAGCAUUUCUUUGCUUUUGGGUACCCAAGCCACUUCAUGGGGCUUUUAUUAUGUGAGAAUGUGGAUUAUAACCUCCAAUGGAGCGUUAUUUUACAAUAAGGCGUGGAUAAUCUCUAUUUAGGGAGUUGGAACAUUUAGAACCCAUAUAUCUGUCAUGCUGCAGGCAUGCCACAGAUUAAUACAUACAUGUCAAUUAAUUUCUGGGACUUUAACCCAUACUAUUUGCUACGCAUUAGGCGUGCACAAUAUCAAUAUUGACAUGUCAAAGGAUUGUCCUUUCGGGACUUCAAUCCACAUCAUUUGCUACGCAACAGGCGUGCAUCAUAUUGAUCACUGCUAUACCCAUAUUCUGUUCUUAUGGGACUUUAAUCUGUGCAGUGUAUUAUCAAUGUAUCCAACUUACAAUCUGUAAAAUUUGCGUUAAUAAUUUAUGGAUACAUACAAGCCAUUCUUUUGGAACGGACUUAUCUCCUCAUUUGGUUACCUUUCAAGAUAAAAUAUCAAAUAAGUAUAUAAGCAUAAAAUAACGCAAAUAUUGCUUACAUCCUUAGGUGGGAGAAACUUUUCUCAAGUAUCAUUCAAGCUCGUAUCGGCCCAGUAAAUAUAAUGUAGCGCUUGAUGAUCUAGUUAUAUCCUGCAAGAGCAAAAUCACAACUCUUUUCUCUGUCAAAAAUAAAUAACCCUCAGAGUUAGGAUCACUCCAUGGAUUCUUUCUUCAGAUGUUCAUUCUAAAGAAAUAAAAUCUCUUAUGAACAGAGAGUUACAAAAAGAGAAAAAAUGCAAAAAAAAAUUGUGAUAUUGAUUGCAAGAGAAGGUAAGCAAUCAGGGAAGGAAGCUGGUGGGAGCAGACAACAAGCUCAGCAAUCAAGGAAGGAAGCUGGUGGGAGCAAACAACAAGCUCUCAUUUCUUCUAGUCUAGAAGAACUUCUGGAGAUUAGAGCAUAAGGUUGCCUUCACAGUUCCCUGAUGUGGCGGAAACGUGAUCAAGGAUAGUCUCGCUUCCUGAAUGGAUGAUCAGAGAUAGUCUUGCUUCUCGGGCAUAUUAAGUGCUCACUGAUAAGAAAAACAAGUAGAUAUCGCAUCACUAGGUAUGGAGAAAACUGGAUGUCUUCAGUUGGUUUGCUUGUAUAUCUCACUAGCAGACCACAACUCCUCCACUACUUUUCUUCCUUACAUCAACAUAAUAGUUAGUAGUAUAGAUAAUAGUGCAGCACAAAAAUUAUACCUGAGAGCUUCUCGUGCUGAUAACGUGUUGUAAAAUAACUGAAAUAUGUGCGAAUAUUGAGCUGCACGUAAAGUAGAUGAGACACAGCAUUUAACGAGGUUCGGCUAUGCCUACGUCCUCGGAGAGCAGCAGCAGUAACUUUCACUAUAUAAAAUAAUAGGGCUACAACUUUGUGUUUACAAUAUGUAUGGCUCACUCAAUUUUCUCUCUUGGAGAAUUUCUCUCUUGCUCUCUUUCCUCUCAACUCACUCACCCUCAUUCUUCCUUCUCUUCCUCUUCUAUCAUUUCAUCUUUCAUUACAAGCAAAUAUAAUGCCUAUUUAUAGGCAAAGCAAAUGGCUUGGUUUGGUGGGUGUGUGAUUUGGUUUGGUAGGUGUGUGGUUUGGUUUGGUAGGUAUGUGGUUUGAUUUGGUGGGUGUGUGAUUUGAAUGUUAGAGCAUGUGAGCUUCACCCAUUCUUCUUUACAACAUUAUCAUAUUAUUAUCAUUGUGAUCUCAAUGAAUGGUUGACGCACAAAUGAAUGGUUACUGUUAUACAUAUACACAGGUUUACAUUUUAUUUUCCUGGAUGCAAGAUCCAAAGCUUCUCCCAAAAAAAAUUCAUAAAAAAGAAAGUCCUUUUUAAAAUUUAACGAUUAUCAUCUACUUUUCAAUAAUUCGAAGCUGAAAGUUGAGUGACUUCCAGUUGGAUGCAUCCGAAUCUAGACCUCACUUUUCAGACAAGAAUGAACUUAAUUGAGUUUCAUCAGAUUGUGAAUCUUGUUGAUGCGAAAAAGUGGUUCAGCACGUGAUUCGUCAACUUAGUUAAAUUAUCCCUUCGGCAGGUGACUGCCUUCGGUAAGCGUUCUACUUCAGAAGAAUAAGUACCUACAAAAGGAUACGUUCGGUAAAACCUUGGGUACCGGUGUGGUACCGGCCGAAGGCUCUCCGAUGCUUAAGUAAGUACGGAUUUAGUAAAGUUUAACUGAUAGAUCACACGAUAGCGUACCGUUAGUUCUCCUUCUUUCCUUUUGGGGAUAUGGGUCUCCUUUUAUAGGCCUUGGGAGGUGUGCACUGUGCUCAUAUUUCCGAUGUGGGACUCUGGGCAUGGAUUGUGAGCAUGGCACGUGUUUGAUAGUGAAAGAGGCCAAGAUAGAUGGCUUCGGUAGGGAGCAUGCCGAAGGGGUCCGUUGAUCAGUAUCGAUCCCCUCCACGUGUUCGGUGGUAAUAGGCCGUUUAUUUCGGUAUAAACAGUAGUCCCCCAAGUUCUCUUCCGGAGAUCCUUCGGAAGGGAAUUUAGUUCUCUACGGCAGCUUGGAGGUUAUCCUGCCAUUCGGUAUGCUCGUUUGGGGGGAUUGACCUGGGACACGAGGGGUCGCCGAUGUUGAGAGGCAAGUGGGCAGAGAGGCGCUUCUCAGAAGUCAUGGAGGAAUCGGCGGGUGUUGCUCUCCGGCGAUUAGGAAUCGCCAUCGGGAACACCCCCUAGCUUUCGAGUCCCCACGACUUUCCAGACUGCCGGUGGGUUUUCGAAUUAUCGAUCGGUAGGCUGGCCCCUUUUUCUUUUUCUGGGUGUGAUUAAUUUUUCUCUGUUUGACAGGCAAACUCAAGCAGCCGAGCCCCAAGCCGAGCGAGAUCCGGCAGCUUGACAGAGUGAGGCUGCGAGUACCCGCUGCCGAGCGAGUCUAUCCGCGCUUUCUCUUCACCGGCAACCUUAUCAAAGCCAGCCUCGUCGACCCUGCCGAGAGUAUGUAGACCUUUCUUCCUCUUUUGUUUUUGUGUAUUGCCUUGGCUCACUGAACUGACUAAGUGCCUUUUUGAUCAGUGACGGACGCCAGGAAGGCUGCCGAGGCCAAAAAGAUGAACGAGUCCUCCAGGAGGCGCCUGAUGAUGGGCCUGGAGGGCAAAAAGAAAAGAAAGCAGCCCGAGGCGGCUUCCAUUCGGCAGCCGGUGCCGGAUCCGGAGGACCAGACCCUCGCGGAUCGCCUUCGGCAGCUCGAUGUCGGUGCCGUUCCGAGGCGCACCGCCGAUGAAGCCGUUGCACCGAGGCCUCGGGACGCCGAGGCUGCCACCCCCAUGGCUGCCGGCAAGCGUCCGGAGACGGUCGAUCUGGACGCCGAGCCGGUCCCCAAGCGCCCUCGCCAGCCGGAAGUUCCCAGGGCCGUCCUUGCGGUGGAGGACGAGGACGGUCCUUCCGAGGCCAUCUCCAUCGCCUGCCCAGCGAAAACCGUCCAGUUCGUCAACCACAUGAUCCUCGGCUCUCAGAUAGAGCUGCCAGAGGUUGACGAACUGCCGAAGAAGUUCCUUCGGGAGGAGGCUGGACGCGCCUUCCGGCUUCAGGCCGCGGUAAGAUUUUUUCCUCUUCCUUCGUCGUUUUUUCCUACUGUGUUUUGUGCUUCUGACCUUCGGUGUUUUGUGCAGGCAUCCAUGGAUAUGUGGCUCUGCGUUAAGCGGGCCAUCACUAUUGCCGAGCACGCCAAGAAGGCGUACGAGGACGGCAGGUCCAAGGUUGCCGAGGUUGGCAAAGCGCUCCAGGAGCACGCCCUCCUGGUCAAGCAGAAGGAUUCCGCCGAACGGCAGGUGGAGGAGAUGAAGGGGCUCCUGGAGGCUGCGCUCGAGGCAACGAAGGAUGCCAAGGCUUCCAAAGACGCGGUGCAGGCGGCUUUGGAGGAGUCGGAGCGGGCGAAAGCAGCGGCGCAGGCGGCCCUGGAGGAAUCGGAACGGGCCAAGGCCGCAGAGAUUGAGGCUGCGGUUCAGUCGGCUAUCCAGGGGUACCGUUCGUCUUCCGAGUUCUCUAUCCUUCUGGAUAAGGAAGUGGGCUCGGAGAUGGCGGACCUGUUGUACCGAUUCAAGCGGUACAACCCUGGGCAGAACCUGAACCUAAACUUCAUUGCCGACCCUCCUCCUCUACCAGAAGGGAUUACCGAGGAAAUGAUUGAAGAUUAUGAGGGGGAGGACGCCGCCGAAGGAUCUGGGUCCGCCGAGGCUGCUACUGGUGACGAAGCCUGAGGGCCUCCUUUGAUUUUCUUGUAAUAAUUAGUUUUUUUUUUGUAUGUACCGAACAUAUUGAUGCCGAGGGCAUCUUUAACUUAAAUGCAUAUUUUUCUCUACUUCUGUUUGUUCGAUCUGAUUUUGUUCAAUUGCCGAUUUUUCUUAUUGCCGUAUAGGAUUUAUGAUGAUAUAAAUGUCACUUCGAAAUUGUCAAGUUCCGACGGAAUCUGUAGGGUAACAAUUUCGAAAAUAUUUAUUGCCGUAGGCUAAUAAAGAUGCCGUAGGAUGCUAUCUUGCCUAUAUUGGCCGCCGUAGGCUAGUAGAGAUUUUAACAAGAGUUUCUGAAGUAAUAGUGCCGAAGGCUUUCCAUUAAUUUCUGCCGAAAGGCGUUUACAAUUUUGUCCUACCGUAGGCUAGGUUAUAAAUUUGUCCUGCCGUAGGCUAGGUUACUUGAAGUAGUACUUGAGAUGUUCUACAUUCCAAGGAUGACCGAGGGUCUUGCCGUUGGUAUCUCUUAGGCGGUAGGUCCCCGAUCGAAGGAUACCGAUGAUCUCAUAAGGUCCUUCCCAGGAAGGUCCGAGGGUUCCUUCUGUGGCAUCUUUAGUUGCUAGGGACACCUUCCUCAUGACCCAGUCACCGAUUCAGAAUGAGCGGUGUCUGACUCUAGAGUCGUGAUACCGAGAGACACGUUGCUUGUAGGCCUCGUUCCGAAGGUUGGCAUGUGCCCGGUGCUUUUCAAGAAGGUCGAGGUUUAGAGAAAGUGCUUCUUCAUUUUGAUUCGGUGCGAAGGUUUCCGUUCGGUAGGAAGGUUCGCCAAUCUCUACCGGCGCAACGGCUUCCAAACCGAAAGCCAAAGAGAAUGGGGUCUCUCCUGUGGACGUUCGGUAGGAGGUCCGAAUGGCCCAUAGCGCUUCGGAAAGCUUCUCUGGCCAGGCUCCUUUGGCUUUGUCCAGCUGCCGUUUCAGCAAUUUCUUGAUGAUUUUGUUUAUUGCCUCUACUUGGCCGUUUGACUGGGGAUGGGCCGGUGAUGCAAAAAAUAAGUUGAUUUUCAGGCGGGUGCAAAAUUGCCUGAAGAGCUCCGAAUCGAACUGCCUACCGUUGUCGGUAAUGAUUGCAUACGGGAUGCCGAACCGGCAACAAAUAUGAGUCCAAACGAAGUCUUCCACUCUUGCUGCCGUUAUGGUUGCCAAAGGCUCGGCCUCUACCCAUUUGGUGAAGUAGUCAACGGCAACCACCACGUAUUUCACCUGGCCUUUGCCCUGCGGCAUUGGACCGAUCAGGUCCAGUCCCCAUUGUGCGAAAGGCCAAGGAAUCACAAUCAGCGUCAAGGGUUCGGCAGGGAUGUGCGGUAUGGCGCCGAAACGCUAGCAUUUAUCACACUUUUUCACCAGCGAGAUAGCGUCCUGGUGCAUGGUCGGCCAAAAGUACCCCUGCCGAAAGGUUUUGUGGGCGAGUGAUCGGGAUCCGGAAUGGUCGCCGCACACACCGUUAUGGAUCUCCCGAAGGACGUAGUCCCCCUGUUCUGCCGUAAGGCACUUGAGAUAUGGAGUUGUGUAGCCACGUUUGUAAAGGACGUCGUUGAUGACGGUGUACCUUGCCGAUCGGUACCUAAGCUUUCGGGCCUGGGCUUUGUCAUCUGGAAGGGUGUCGUUGGUCAGGUACGAGUAGAUAGGAGACAUCCAUGUAUCCUCGUACCGUACGGUAAAUGUUUCGGAGGCUACCGUGCUCGGUUGGGCAAGAAUUUCCACCGGUACCUUUCUUCCGAUUUUAUCGUUUAUUGCCGAGGCUAGGCGUGCCAAUGCAUCGGCAUGGCUGUUUUCGCUUCUGGGGAUCUGCCUGAUCUCGUAGGCUUGGAAGUUUUGGAGCAGCUGGUGGGUGGAUGAAAGGUAGGCGUUCAUGGAGGUGUCUCUGGCCACGAAGUCUGCCGUUACCUGGUUCACAAUGAGCUGGGAGUCGCUGUGAAUCCUGAUUUGUUUUGCGUUCAUGCUCUUGGCUAACCGAAGGCCGGCCAAGAGAGCCUCAUAUUCGGCUUCAUUGUUGGAGGUUCGGAAGUUGAAUCGAAGGGCGUACUCGAUCUUGAGUCCCUCUGGUGUUGUCAGUACCAGGCCUGCUCCGCAUCCUUGUUGGUUUGCCGAGCCAUCGACAUGCAGAACCCAUACGGGCCUUGAGGUGUCGAGCCGUUUGGCGUCUACUUCCAUUGGCGUUCCGGUUUCGGUAACCAGCUCGGCUGUCGGCUGUGCCGUUGAUGGGGUGAGUUCGGAGAUGAAAUCGGCAACGGCUUGACCCUUUUCGGCGGGUCUUGGCACGAAUUGUAUAUCGAACUCUCCGAGUUCGAUUGCCCACUUGAUCAAUCGGCCAGAAGUCUCUGGGUUUUGGAGCACCUGCCGAAGCGGUUGGUUGGUCAGAACUUUGAUCCCGUGUGCUUGGAAAUAUGGCCGAAGUCUUCGUGCCGAGACUACCAGGGCUAGUGCAAGCUGCUCUAAUGGGGGAUACCGAAGUUCAGCGCUUUGGAGUGCUUUGCUGGCAUAGAAAAUUAGUAGCUCUGCCCUCUCUGGCUUUCGGACCAAUACCGAACUGACAGCAGUGCCAGAUACCGAAAGGUAUAGAUAGAGAAUUUCCCCAGGUAGUGGUUUUGACAGGAGGGGUGCUCUGCCCAUGUAGUCCUUUAAGUCUUGAAACGCUUUAUCACACUCGGCAGUCCAGUUGAUAUCCCGUUUGCCCCCUUUCAAGGCUUUAAAGAACGGAACACACUUGUCGGUGGCCUUGGAUAUGAAACGAGUCAAGGCUGCCACGCGUCCGGUAAGGCUUUGAAUGUCCUUCGCCGUUUUCGGCCUCUCCAUAUCGAUGAUUGCUUUUAUUUUUUCGGGGUUCGCUUCGAUACCCCUCUCACUAAUCAUGAAUCCGAGGAAUUUUCCGGAAGAUACACCGAAGGCGCACUUCGUUGGGUUCAGCCUCAUCCGAUAAUCCUUCAGCACGCCGAACAUGACUGACAGAUUCUGUAGAUGUUCCUAGGCGGUUUUGCUCUUUACUAGCAUGCCGUCAACGUAAACCUCCAUGAUGUUGCCGAUGUACUUGGCGAAGAUUCUGUUGACGAGCCUUUGAUACGUUGCCCCCGUGUUCUUCAGGCCGAACGGCAUGACGUUGUAACAGUACAAACCCCUGUCCGUUAUGAAGGCGGUGUGUUCGCUGUCAGGGGGGUGCAUGAAUAUCUGAUUGUAUCCCGAAUAGGCGUCCAUGAAGCUCAGCAGUUCAUGUCCUGCGGUGGCGUCCACGAGCUGGUUUAUCCGUGGCAACGGAAAGCUGUCCUUCGGGCAGGCCUUAUUCAGAUCGGUAUAGUCUUGGCACAUCCGCCAACCGCCUGUACCCUUCCGGACCAUCACCGAGUUUGCCAGCCAUACCGGAUACGUAGUUUCUCUGAUGAAGCCGAUGGUUUGAAGUUUGUUGACCUCUGUGCGCAUCGCUUCGUAUCGUUCGGCAUCAUACGAACGGCGCUUCUGUCUUACAGGCUUAUAUGCAGGGGAGAUGCUGAGUUUGUGGCUGAUGACCUCAGGAUCUAUGCCGGGCAUAUCCUCGUAAGACCACGCAAAUACUUCCGAAUGAAGCCGUAAGAAGUCUAUGAACUGCGCUCGGAGGUUAGGGGUGAGUCUGGUGCCGAUCUUAACCCGACGAUCGGGCUGCUCGUCAUUCAGGGUUAUCGUUUCCAGUUCUUCGGCAGGUUGCAUGUGUGGAGUCGGGGACUCAUCCCUGGGGUCGUCAACGGGUCCUGUACCGUUCGGUAUCCCCUGUACAGACAUGGUCUCGUCGGGUACUUGUACAGUGGUUGACUUGAGUGCCGUGGCGUAGCAAGUCCGAGCGCUUAGUUGAUUUACCCGGACAGUCCCUGUGCCGUAGGGGGUUGGGAACUUCAUCAGUAGCAUGUGGGGGGAAAGAUGCGCUUUGACCAUGGUGAGCGUCGUUCGUCCAACUAUGACGUUGUACGCCGUCGGGCAAUCAACGAUGAGGAAUUGAUCGUAUACCGUCGUUUUCCUUGGCGCGAUGCCGAAGGUUAUGGGUAAUGUCACGCUACCGAUCGGUUAGACCAGAUCUCCGGAGAAACUCAACAAAGGUGUCAACUGCCGGUUUACCUGGCAGUCCUUUAUUCCCAUCCCUCGGAAAGCUUCGGAAAAAAUCACGUUCACCGAGCUCCCGGCAUCGAUCAGCACUCUUCCUACGUCGUAGUUUGCGAUUUCUGCCCGGAUGAUCAUUGGGUCGUCAUGGGGAUAGAGGAUGCCUUAUUCCUCCUCCUCGCAGAAUGUGAUUGGCUCUCAACGAACUUUCGGGAUUUCCUGGCGCCGAUUAAGCUCUAUGCCGAACACCUGAGAAAACUGCGCGGCCCGCACAUAUUGCUUCAUUGACCGGUUGCUCAUUCCUGCGAUGGUGGGGCCACCGCUAAUAGUGCUUAUCAUGUUUAUCUGCCGAACCGGAUUCGGCACCGGCGCUGUUGGCUGCCGGGCGAUGUACUGAUCCAGCUUCCCCUCCCUGAUCAAUCGCUCAACAAUUUUUCUCAGGCUUAUACAGUCUUCUGUAUUAUGGCUAUUGUGCUGGUGGUAUCGGCAGAAUUUUCCGAUCUCUCGGUUGUCUUGCCGAUUUGGUCUUCGGGCAUUCGGCUUCGGUAUUAUUCCCUGUUUGUUCAUCAGGACGGCCUCGUAGGUAGUGUUCAACAGGGUGAAGACUUCAUUGGCUUGGUCAUGAUUCGGCAGGGGCGCUCGGUGGUCGUUGCGACCGUACCGUCCUUUCCCUUUCUUCGAGGGUUCUCUUGAUCAGCGCGGUCGUCCUUUCUCUUAUGACCUGCCGAGUAUGUGUCGGUUCUCCCGUAGGAUGUCGCCUUUGCCGGAUAAGCACUUGAUUCGGCGUUUCCUCGUGGUGUCGAAGCCGUGGGCUUCGAGUUGAAGUAUUCGGCCUUGGCGUGGAUGGCCGCUUGCUUCAUCAGUUCGUCAUACGUGCGCUAGUUGCUGCUGUGUACUAGGUAUCGGAAGUGUGAGGACCGAAGGCCACUCUUAAAGGCGCCGUAGGCUGCCCUGUCGUCUGUUUCCGGACACCUUGAGUACUCGUGACUAAAACGCGCCGCGUACUCUCUCAACGGUUCGUCCUCUCCUUGCCGAAUCGUGUACAGAUCAUCGGCAGAGUAAAGACGGUCCGUUUGAAUCAUGAAGUGGUUGAGGAAGAUCUGCUUCAGUUCGUCGAAGGAGUCUACCGUUUCUGGCUCUAACCGGUAGAACCAGUUCAGGUCUGCCCCGGUAAGGGAGGACGGGAAUAGCAGGCACUGCCCUUCAUCGCUCAAGCCCUUGCAUCCUAUGGCGGACUGAAAUGAGUAGAGGUGGGUUAAGGGGUCUUCCGUUCCCGUAUAGAACGGUAUCCGAAGCUGCUGCCCUUCCUGAUCCUGCCGAGAGUCCUGGAUGCGCCUGGUAAAUGGCCCCGGUCGAAGCUUUCCCCACUCUGGCCCCUGGGAGCGGGCGUUGUCGUUCUCCAUUUUCUGGAUUCUUUGAAAAAGGAGUCGUACAACGGGGUCUCGGCUAGGGAUUUCCUCGGAAUCGAAGUCUUCUGUUUGCCUCCGUAGGUUGAGUGGGUUAACCUCCGAGUUCCGCGAAUGUGUUGCCGAACGGUAGGUGGACGUUUGCGUCCCGGACGGGAUGUACUCGGAUUCCGACUCCUCUUCGGGGCCCAACCCCCUCACUUUCCGAAUGGGCGACUUGUCCCCCAGGACCCUCAUCCGUGAAUCCCUUAGUCGGGCGCUCAUCCUGAUCGGAGACCUCUGUCUCUCUGCCUCUCGAUCAUUGAUCCGAUGUCGACAAUCGGUGUAGACCUUCUUCGGGACAUGUGGCUGAUCCCUGGGUGGCGGGACCACCAAUUGUUUGGAAGGAGCGGGCGUUGCCGUCGCUGCCUUAUCGCGUUUCUUCCUCCCGUGAAGGGUCUGCAGGCUUUCGGAAGAGUGAGUUAUCUGGAUGUUCUGCGUGUGCUGCUGGUUGAGCAGCUGCUGGGUUUCGUCCACCUUGGACGAAAGAAAGUUGUUGUGUUCCUGAAGCCUCGCCAUGUCCUUCCGUAAGGUUGCGAUUUGGGCUGCCAGCUCGGCUUCGGCGGUUGUUUGGGUAGCGGGGGCAUUUUCGAAGGGAGUGCCUGGAGGUAGCGCUGGGCUAGCUCCGCUCUGCCUUCCGAACGGUCCUCCCUCUUCCGUUAAGAACGUAGGUAUUGAAGUGGUCCCCAUGUGUUUAGGAGAUAGUGGGUUGAUAAUUUUUCGGUUUCCCACAGACGGCGCCAAACUGUUGAUGCGAAAAAGUGGUUCAGCACGUGAUUCGUCAACUUAGUUAAAUUAUCCCUUCGGCAGGUGACUGCCUUCGGUAAGCGUUCUACUUCAGAAGAAUAAGUACCUACAAAAGGAUACGUUCGGUAAAUCCUUGGGUACCGGUGUGGUACCGGCCGAAGGCUCUCCGAUGCUUAAGUAAGUACGGAUUUAGUAAAGUUUAACUGAUAGAUCACACGAUAGCGUACCGUUAGUUCUCCUUCUUUCCUUUUGGGGAUAUGGGUCUCCUUUUAUAGGCCUUGGGAGGUGUGCACUGUGCUCAUAUUUCCGAUGUGGGACUCUGGGCAUGGAUUGUGAGCAUGGCACGUGUCUGAUAGUGAAAGAGGCCAAGAUAGAUGGCUUCGGUAGGGAGCAUGCCGAAGGGGUCCGUUGAUCAGUAUCGAUCCCCUCCACGUGUUCGGUGGUAAUAGGCCGUUUAUUUCGGUAUAAACAAAUCUCCUAUUAAAAAAUAUAUGUGAAUUAAAACAUUGAAUCUAAACUUAAUUCCUAAUUAACAUCAUAUAUUUAUAAGGGGCUUAUAUCUCAAAUGAUCAAGAGCAACUACUAUUGCAUCUGACAUUCUUGGUUCCCAUUUCUUUCUCUUGUAAUAUCGCUUGUUUUUUAAAAAAUAAAAAUAAAUAAAAAAUUCAUAUACUCCACUUCAAGCUCCUCUAGAACCUACAAUAAUUUGAGUCUUUCUCAUAAUCUUACAUGCAUGCAUUUCUUUGUACUCAAGUCACGGGCUCGAAGCUCGAGAACAUCACAAGUGCAUUGCAAGUUUCUUUGAGGGUAAUUUAGCACUGGUACUAAAUUAUACACCCUGAACUAUUACGCUAGUUGAAAUCUACACCCUGAAUUAAUUUUUCAGCCAAUUUAGUACUGGUAUUAAAUUUUAUCUCCAAUUUACCCCCCAUCAUUAGUGUUUGGCAAUUUCCAUCCAAAUCUCUAUUUAAAAAACCACAUGAAUGGCACAUGCCAACCCUGCAACCCAAAUCUCUUGAUCCCUCUCUCUUCUUCUUCAUCUCUCUUCUCUCAUUGUAAAUAGCCAGAAGUUUGAAAAAUUUUAAAAAAAAACCAAAACCAAGCCAAAGAAAUCAACAAUGAAAACAAAUCUACAACCCAUAUAUGCAUCAAAGCUAUGGACACAAACCCUCAUCAAAGUUUUUUUUUCCCCAUAUCUGCAAUCCUGUCACUGAUGAGGAAUCAAAUCUGCAAUAAUUGGUCUUCCCCCAUUGAUUCCCUUUUCAAACAUUCUCUUUCUUCUCUUAUGACUGUUCCACAUCCCUCCCCCACCCCCUACACACCCAAUGACAACCCCACAUAAAAGCCCACCAGACCACCACCUCUCUCUCUCUCUCUCUCUCUCUCUCUCUCUCUCUCUCUCUCUCUCUCUCUCUCUCUCUCUCUCUAAAAAAUACCCUAAUUUGAAAACAAAAUUCUACUAAUUCAUAAAACUAGCAUAUUCUUGCAUACAUCAGAAUUGAGGUUUUCCACUUCAUCCACUUUCUCAACCUUCAUAGCUAGUGAAUUUGCACCAACAUCCACAGCAUUAAACCUUUCUCAGAGGCAAAUCGGAUUUAGAAGCAGGAGAUGCAUCGGACCCAUCAACGGGUUUCACCGUAAAAUCAGCACUGUUUGAUUAUUUAUCAUCCUUGUCGACCUCAGAAGGCCCAGCUUCGCAAUCCGCAACAACAUUCUCCGAUGCUUCGAAUUUAAUCAUGGGGUAUACCAAAGUCCUGCCAUAACACAACCACAUCCCAUAUUCAGACCAGGGGAGCUUAUGGCGAGGUGAUGAAUUUGGGGCUGUGUAGUGAGGAUAAGGGAUGCCAGUAUUGACAGGACCCGACCUAAAUUCUACUUUGGAAUUCGAGCCGAAUUCUGUGAGUGUCCGACACCUGGUUAAAGCCGGGCACAAAGACCAAACUGCCAUUCUAAUUAAAAAUUCACUUUUAAAAUAAGAUUAUCUUCUACCGAAAAUUCGACAGAGUGUCUCCUGUAAUUCACUCAUUUCCCAAAAUUUCUACCCAUCAACAAAAAUUUAAAAUUUCUCAAGCGUUCAGCAUCUAUCAAUUUAUAUCCAAGAAAUCAAGCAUCACAACAUUAUGGCCUCAGGCCUCAAUGAAACGAAUAAAUCAUUCUUACUAACCACAUUAAAUUCAACUUCUUAAACCAUCACUAGAACAAUGCUAGAUUUCAUAAUAACUUAGCUGGACUACCUUAAUUAUGUGCUCUCGUGGUUGCACCUUGUAACUAUAGGCUGCCUACGUACUCUUACUGAGGGAUCAAGCCACACGUAGUUCUCGUUUUUCAUCUCAACUUCUUGUUCCAAGCUUCCUGGCAUUUCUCACAUGGCAAUAUAUAAUCAAACAAGGAAAUAAAAACAUUUAUAUCAAGUAAGCAUGCUUGGAAAGCCAUAACCAUCAAUUCCUCGUGACACCAAUGGUGACACGUUUUGACAUGUAAUCCUCGUUGGACUCAGGAGACAUAUGGUCAACCUGGUCCGCAAUCCUCGCUCCCACGGUCCGAAUAACUCUAAGACUCAUGGGGCAAAAUAUGCUAGAAAAACUUAAGAUAUUUAAUACUAUAUAAAAUAAUAAAGGAUAAAGAUAAAUAAACAUGCUAAAAUAAAAUAAAAUGAAAUAAAAUAAGUUAAAGAUUUAUAAGCUAAGAACACUCUUGUAAAGAACUCAAGUAAAGUUCAUAAAUAAAUAUAUAUAUCCAUCUAUCGCUUAUAAAACAAAUGUGACGCUUAAGAAAAUAAUGGUAACUGUAUAAAAUCCUCAAUUUAGUUUAAAAGCAUCUCAGAACUUAAAUUCUCUCCACCUAGACGUACCCCUAUUUCUAAUCCGUCAAUUCCUUUAAUACCGUCAAUUCCAUAUAUGCCAUCAAUUCCAUAUAUCCGUCAAUUCCAAUAAUAAUCCGUAAAUUUCAAUGUUAGUCCGUCAAUUCCAUCCUCGCAAGUCUCAGAACCAUAAAGUUUACCGAGCCGCAUUUCUCGCAGGUCUCAGAGAUAACACUUCAAUCUGAGCCGCAAUCCUCGCAGGUCUCAGAGAUAAACACUUCAAUCUGAGCCGCAAUCCUUGCACCGCACGAUUCAGGCAUCCCCGAAACUCAUGGGGCAUCAUCAAAAUAACAAACUGUCUCAAGGCAACUGGGGGGGUACCCUGGCAGUGGGUUUGAAAACUAUAACUCGCCAUUUAUAUAAACUUUAAAUAGAUUGAUUCUCAACUAAACUUAAAAUAUAUAUAUAUAUAUAUCAUAAUCUGAUAAAAGCCAAAAGCCAAGAUUCAUCCUUUUCAACUACUGAAUAUAUAUAUAUAUAUAUAUACAGUCCCCUUCUAUUGAGGGAUCCCUCAAAUAAAAUUAUUUGAGGGACGCCCUUUAGGGUACCCUAUAAUUUUUUUCCCAAUGAUCCAAACCAUCUAUUUUUUAGGUCUUCAUUCAUAGAUCAUCCUUACAAAAAAUUAGACAAAUCGGAAACCGUUUCGAUAUCCAAUUGUGUCUUACAAAAUCAAUGAACACGGUACUUCAAGAAAAUGCUAAAAUUUCAAUAACUUAAUUGAGUGGUCAAAUGAUAUCGGAUUCAAGUGAUUUUUUGUAGGGAUGAUCUUUGAAUGAGUAUCUACAAAAUAGACGGUUUGGAUUAGUGAAAUACAAUCCGGAGUGGGGCCUACAGGGGUGUCCCUCAAAUAAGCUUAUUUGAGGGAUCCCUCAAUAGAAGCUCUCUGUAUAUGUAUAUAUAUAUAUACACACACACUAAAUACUUGGCUAGCUUGUUAACUAUCUCGAUCUCUGCUUAGCAUACCAUUCCAAUAUUAUAUUUAUACUCCUACCACACAAUUAACCAUGAACAUAUAUAAACAGGUGAUAAAUAAACAGAUAAUUAAAUACUCAUCUCGAAAUCACAUAAAAUCAUGAAAUUAAAACUACAACUAAACCAAGUGAACACUCGCACGCACAUGAGCUUUCUAAAGGCGCAAACAUAUCACAUGGAGCUCAUCCUCAUUAUUUAAUCCAAAAUCCUGGCCCUGGGCUCCUAGAAGUGCGUGCAUUGUAUUUGAAGUCAUUCUCAAGCCUAUGUAAACCUUUCCAAUGAUUAGAACGGUCUAGGAGUGCAUCGGGACUCAAAAAGCGAUAAGUCCUAAAAAGUCAACCCGAGACCCCGUGGGGUCCACUACCUCAAAAUUCCGAUCCAAGAGUUCCUAAAGGUCAUCACAUGCCUAGGACAUAUGUCUCGAUAGUUUGGUCUCAACUGGACGGUCAGAUUGAUCACGAUUGCGCGAUCGGACGGUUACUAUCAACCUAACCCUAGGGUUGGCAUUUUGGAAUAUCCGGGUCUCCAUUUUUCGAUCUGUCGAGUCCUAUACGAUUCUGGAAUUGUCUAGAUCAACAUGUAUAAAAUUGACUACAAUCCAACGGUUCAAACGUAUUGAACCUGAAAAACACACAAUAUGCGAAAUCCGUUCAGGGUCCAAACGUUGUCCAAAUUAAUAUCCAUGAAUUCCUACGCGCUCCUGAGGACCAAAAGAUCAUUUUAGGUUCUGAAAGCGACUUCACUACGCUAGCCACGCGCCGCCGCACGCACCGGCAGCGUGGGUGGCUUGAUCAAAUUCCGCCAGCAGGAAAUCUUCAAAACUGAAAACCCAGCUUCCUAUCUUAGGUAAAACAUCCUAUUUGGAAUCACUUUUUGUUUUGGACCUACCUCAAAAAGUGGCCGGAAGUGGCCGGAAUCGAAGGCCGAAACUGGCCAAAACUUCAAUCGCUUAAUCAACCAAUUAAACGCAGAAAUUUCUAAAAAUAACACCACCAGCAGUUAGAACACGUUGAAAGGAUAGAAAAUCAUACCAAAUUCGAAAGAUUUGGUGGCCGGAGGCGUCCGAACGAGCUCCCGAAAGUUUACUAAAAACCUAUCCAAUACCGCCUGUUCCGUGGCUGAUUCCGGGGGCCACGCCGGCGGAUCAAUUGAGAAGUUGAAGGAGAGAAGUUGGCUGGUCGUGAAGCUUCUAAGGGGACGGAAAAAAUCUGGGUUUUAAAACUGAACUUUGAAAUAUUUACGGUUGUGCCACUGAACUUCUUUAAAUCUUAACUUCUUCGUUACAACUCCGAUUUGAGCCCACUACGUGUCUACGAACUCGUUUCGAUGUGCUCUACACAACAGUAGAAUCAGGAUUUCCAAAUUCCUUCCCAAACUUAAAAUGACUUUUUUACCCCUUAUAAUAUUAAAUAAUAUUUUAAUUUCUCAAAAACCUUAAUUAAUUCAAAUCAUUUUAUUUUAAUGUUUGUUUCAAUUUAAUUCCUCUUUUAAAUUUAUUCUCUCUUACUUUAAAUAUUUUAACACUUUUUCGGGUUGGGAUGUAACAAUUCCACCAAAGUCUCCCCAGUCAACAAGUCAACAUGUAAACCUAUUAAAAUAUUCCAGGGCAACAUUGUCUUUUUCUUUAAUAAUUUAAUAUUUAAUUAUUAGCUUAGGAUCGGGUCGUUACAAGUAUAGCCAGGCGGCUAUACCUUUUAAAUAUAUUAUAUUACAUUUUCCUUAUUUUUCUUAAUACAAUACCUUGUAAAAUGUCAAAUUUACCCUUAUAUUUUACGGACAUUUGGAUGGAAUUGUAAAAAAGCUAACGACAAUGGUGAAAUUGGCGAAUAAAUUUAAUACAAUGGCUAAAUUGGCUAAAAAUUAAUUCAUGGUAGAGAAUUCAACAAGCGUGAUAGUUCAUGGGGGUAUUCAGCAGUUUAACCUUUCUUUAAUAGUGUCCAUCAACUUUAAUUAUGUUUCACCCUUUGUAAUUGAAGAAUGGUAGCAACUUUUUCUCUAACAUUCUCUUCUAAACUUUCUCCCUUCUCCUCAACACAAAUUCUUUUUGAAAAAGCUCCCUCAAAGUAAUUAUAAAGUUAGGCAUGCAUGUAAAGCUUUUGAAGUGUAGCAGCAAAGCCAGACAUGCUUUGUGUCGAUUAUUUUUACCAAAGUUGCAAAAGCGCUAGCAACAAAAAAUCUACAUAUGUACCCCCAAGAGAGCUCUAUUUGCCAAACUUUACGUGGGUUUUCAUAUUUUUAGCCAAUUAAUUAGUGGCUUAAAUUAUUUCUCUGGUAGGUAGACACCAUAACUAAAUUCUUUAUUUCAUUAAAUUUUUUGUCUAUUUAAGGGGUAAAAUAAUCAAUUCGGAUCCACAUUAGAGAAGAAGAAACUGAUAGAAUUUGACAAAAUGACGAAAUUGGAAUGCGUGCAAGUUGGAGGACGGCAUGAACAAAAAAAUGAGUGGAAGGACAGCAGAAACUAAAAAAUGAAUUGGAAGAUCUGAAAAAAAAAAUUCGGGUAUUAAUUUAGGCACCAUUAUAGCUAAACACAUAAUAAGAACAGAUAAAGAGAGGAUGAAUGGAGUGAAAACGAAAUCAUUGAAAGUAAAAAUGAAUCCUAACUAAUAAAAGUAGGAACCCCAUAGAAAGAGUUCACAUUCAAUUAUCAUAUUAUUAUCAUUGUGAUCUCAAUGAAUAAUUGACGCACAAAUGAAUGGUUACUAUAGGAUACUAAACUAUAAUUAACCUUAAAAAAAAUUGUUAAUUAAACUUUUUAUUAUUAUUAAAAUACACUUGUUUGAUUUAAUUGAUGUGUCAUAUGAUAUGGACCUGUCACAUCAUGUGGUAUAGAAAUGUGAUAUGUGUAGUAUUACUCUUUUAUCAAUUAAUAAUUUUUUCUAUAUAAAAAUACAAUAAUUAGUCGUUGUUCACUAUACUUAAAAGUGGUUAGUAAAUUGGUGAAAACAUCGUGCAGUAUAUGGGUGUAUUGGUAAAACACUUGAAUUAUGUUUGUUUUUGUUCACCCAAAUUCGAUCCCGUCUUUAGAUAUAUUAAAGUAAUUUACAUAACAAUCACUAGUAUAAAAGAAUACUUAAUAUCUUUAUAUAUAAUACCCAUUAUCAUUCUAGGAAUAAUGAAAACGAGAGAACCCAGCUAUACAGAGGAUGGUUAGUUAGGGGGCAGGGAGUUCGUGACGGAGAGAUAAAUAUAUGAUAAUCAAUUAAAGAGGACCAGACGUUUGAUUGUUAAAUACAGUUAAGUCCACGAUAUUGGAGUUUUUGUUUGAAAUUAGAGAAAAGAACCGUACCACUUCAUCAUAUUAACAAAGAACAAGAAAAAGAAAGGAACACUACUUUAUUCGGUGAGUGCUUAGAAAAUAGAUCAUUUUCAUUUUGAAAAAAGGGGAAAAUUACGUUGUUCGGUGAGUGCUUAGAAAAAAUUAAUUAAUUUAAGGGUGUAACAAAAAUGAAAAGUACCAAAUACUAGAAUUUGAAGGAAGUCGAAGUCGAAAUUCUUCACCUCAACAUCAAUUCGCAACGAGGAAGUAACCCAAAUUGCUAAUAGACCCAUGCAAAGUUCCUUACCAAAUUGCUAUUAAUGUAAAAUGUCACAGACUGUCUAACUUAAAACAAGUAAUUAGGUAAUUAAAUGAGUGGAAAACAGAAACAAAUACAAUGAUCUGUGAUUGAUAGUAACAUUUCCAAGCUUUCAAAAUUUAUAAAAUAAAUAAAAAGGGCUUCUGAUUUUGUUGCAUAGCAGUACACUAGAGUUGAACAUUCGAAAACACUACAUUCUUAACAGUAUGAUCAUAUGUUACAUAAAUAUGAAGUUAAUGUUAUAAAUCUAGUAAGAAAAUAGAGAGAGAAUUGGGAUAGAGAGAAAUUGGAGAAAAUUGAUUUCUCAUUCAUUGAGAGUUUGUUCUUCACAUUAUUUCUGUGUGUUUUCUCAAUCUCAUUGUGUAUUUACAAGUAUGGGAGGGAGCCUUAUUUAUAGGCAUUUUGGGGGCAUUUUGGGGACUCCACUUUUACAACACUCCCCCUUGGAGACCACAAAUGAUACGGAAUAUGUCUCGUUAAAAACCUUGCCAGUAAAAACCCAGUGGGACAAAAACUGGUCAAAGGGAAAAAAAGUACAUAAUCAUGUGUAACAUAAAAUUCUAUGUAUAUUGACGCGCGUGCGACACUGCCUCGUUAAAACCUUGCCAGGAAAAACCCAGUGGGAUAAAAACCUGGACGAAGGAAAAAGAGUACAGUGUUUGAAGAUCUUUAUUGAUAGCGCGCUCCCCCUGAUGCUUGGUAAAAAUAUCUUUAAGUCAUACUGUUAAUCAGCUUUCUGAAUAUCGUAGUUGACACUGCUUCUGUGAGUCAAUCUUGAGCGAUACUGCCUCGUUAAAACCUUACCAGGAAAAAUUCAGUGGGAUAAAAACCUGGAUGAAGGAAAAAGAGUACAGUGUAUGAAGGUCUUUAUUAAAACCAUGCUCCCCCUGAUGAAUAUCUCCCCCUGAAAAAUUUAGGACUAGCUUUUGUCCAGUAAGCGACCAUGAAAAUUUUCGUAGUAUACCCUAAACCCUUGAGCGACACUGCCUCGUUAAAACCUUACCAGGAAAAACCCAAUGGGAUAAAAAACCUGGAUGAAGGAAAAAGAGUACAGUGUGGAGCUGAGCUAUAUCUGGUCUAGUAUACUUCCGGAAAAACAUUUAAGGACCAAUGGAUAAGACUCAUAAAAAUGCUUCAAUACUUUCUUAGUAUAAGGAAGAAUCUUGUUGGCAUAAUGCUCGAUCGAGACAAAUAUUUCAUGAAUUCUGCGGAAGCUUUAAUGUGUUGCAAUCACAUUAUAAUCAAUGUACUCACUGAGGUAAUUUAUGCAUAUUAAUAUUGAGUACAAAUUUUGUGCUUCAAGCACAUGUCCUUUAGGGACUUGCUUUAUGCAAUUGUCAAUCCUCUCAACGGAUUUUGUCUAAAAGGGAUUAAACUUUAUGACACAUUAUAUAGCUUUUACUCAGCUAUUUAUACAUCUUUAGGAAAUCGCUUCUGGCGAUAUGCUCUGUGCAUUUAAUAACCCUUAAAGAUAAUAUGUUGGUCUCCGUAAUUGUGUAAUAAAGGGGGGGCACAAUUUAAUCUGUAAAUAUGGAGAAAACCCAACAUUCCUUGUUUCUGCUAGAAACAGUGUGUCAUACAAAGUAGGUAUAUUCCCUUUUAUUCCGAACACCCAAGUAUAAAUUUCAGUAUUAACAUAUUUUGGGGUUCGUACUGUGGGUUUGUUCUUUCACGUUCAUUCUCAUCUAUAAUGGAAUUACCUCCUUCCAUUUUGGCCAAUGAUAUUGUCGACAUUUAAUAAUUGAACGUGGUUCCAAUCAACACAGCCCAUUGAUGAUUUGAGUAGCUACUCCAAAACCAAAAAUUGUCAUUCAUCAAUUCAUAAUCUCACAAUUCUCAUGUGCAUGCGCAUGCAUCAAUUAUAAGCAUUUCUUUUGCUUUUGGGUACCCAAGCCACUUCAUGGGGCUUUUAUUUUACAUAGGGCGUGGAAAAUCUCCAUUUAGGGAGUUGGAACAUUUAGAACCCAUAUAUCUGUCAUGCUGCAGGCAUGCCACAUAUACAUACAUGUCAAUUAAUUUCUGGGACUUUAACCCAUAUCAUGGGACUUUAACCCAUAUAAUUUGCUUGUAUAAUAUCAAUAUUGACAUGUCAAAGGAUUGUCCUUUCGGAACUUCAAUCCAUAUCAUUUGCUACGCAACAGGCGUGCACCCAUAUAUCUGUCAUGCUGCAGGCAUGCCACAGAUUAAUACAUACAUGUCAAUUAAUUUCUGGGACUUUAACCCAUAUUAUGGGACUUUAACCCAUAUAAUUUGCUACGCAUUAGGCGUGCAUAAUAUCAAUAUUGACAUGUCAAAGGAUUGUCCUUUCGGGACUUCAAUCCACAUCAUUUGCUACGCAACAGGCGUGCAUCAUAUUGAUCACUGCUAUACCCAUAUUCUGUUCUUAUGGGACUUUAAUCUGUGCAGUGUAUUAUCAAUGUAUCCAACUUACAAUCUGUAAAAUUUGCAUUAAUAAUUCAUGGAUACAUAUAUCUGUUAUUCUUUUGGAACAGACUUAUCUCCCCAUUUGGUUACCUUUCAAGAUAAAAUAUCAAAUAAGUAUAUAAGCAUAAAAUAACACAAGUAUUGCUUACGUCCUUAGGUGGGAGAAACUUUUCUCAAGUAUCAUUCAAGCUUGUAUCGGCCCAGUAAAUGUAGCGCUUGAUGAUCUAGUUAUAUCCUGCAAUAGUAAAAUCACAACUCUUUUCUCUGUCAAAAACAAAUAAUCCUCAGAGAGUUACAGAAAGAGAAAAAAUGCAAAAAGAGAAGGUAAGCAAUCAGGAAAGGAAGCUGGUGGGAGCAGACAAUAAGCUCUCAUAUCUCCUAGUCUAGAAGGACUUCCGGAGAUUAGAGCAUAAGAUCGCCUUCACAGUUUCCUGAUGUAGCGGAAACGUGAUCAGGGAUAGUCUCGCUUCCUGAAUGGAUGAUCAGAGAUAGUCUUGCUUCUCGGGCAUAUUAAGUGCUCACUGAUAAGAAAAAUAAGUAGAUAUCGCAUCACUAGGUAUGGAGAAAACUGGAUGUCUUCUGCAAAGAAAAUUUCGUUAGUAACACAUUUAUACACAAAUACAAUGAAUAGGUAGAACCGGUGAAUUUCAAAUUAACCAUAAGAAAAUUGCGAGAUUCUCGGGGUACUUUUGAAAAAGUAGCUCCGUAAAAUCCGUAAAGCAAGAUCGGCUUUUGAUGAAAAUAAAACUUUGAAAACGCCGAAAGUGCUGACAAACAUUUAAUGGAGGCCACGUGAAGUUUUGGAAUCUGGGAAAGAAAAAGAUAAUAUGGGGAUCUGAGAUAAUAUUGGGAUUCUGGAAACUGUAGCCAUAUUUCCUCCUAUAGAUAUGGCCUUUGCAAAACUUGAUUGGAGCAACUGCAUUUCAACUUGCUCCUUUCCUGUUAUAAUAAUUGCGCACAUUCUUAAAAUUUGCACCUGUGGUUUUUACGUCUUUUCAAAAUGACGGUUUGGAACCUUGUGCCUUAUAGGUUCAAAUAACCACAUCGACUCUCCCAAAUUUCAUAUUUCAACGUAUGGGAGCCCGGAACUUUUGGCCUGGGCUAAACACAAACUCAGAAUUUAUUUGCCCUUUUCAAAAUGGACAUGAAAUAUGAAUUGAGUAAAAGCCACGCUAAUAUCUCAUAUAUUUGGGUUCAUGAGCUUCCGGCCCAGAUAUAACAAAAUAUGUGGGGAGCCUCAAUUCAUCAUUCUCUUAUGCCAAAGAGAUAUGUGGCGUACCACAAUUUGUAAUAAUACCUCAAGGGUUGUCCAUUUAAUUGUUGGAACUUCAGGUUCUCAACACUGUUAGAUUUUGAACUUCUGGCCAAAAUCACAUAUUCUCACGGUAUGGACAUUCAAUCCCCUUAGAUUUUGAACUUCGGGCCAAAAUCAUAUAUUCUCAUGGUAUGGACAUUUUUACAAUUUUCUGUACAUAUUUCUGGACUUCAAGCCCUUACAUAAUUGUCCAUAUUUUGAGGAACUUCUGGCAUCUCAUUUAAUUGUUCAUCCAUGAGUUUAAGGAACUGCAGGUUCCAGUACAUUUGCCAGUACAGUUAUCAUCCAUGUGUACGGCAUUAUGAACCAAUACGGUACUGUUACAUCAUUAAUGAACCCCAGCUCCUUAUUUACAUGUCAGGGAUCAAGGACCCUCAAGUCCGAUCACAUGUUUACAAAUAUAGUACCGGAGAGACUGCCAGCUCUCAUAUUAACAUCAUCAUCAAGGAUCUUCAAGUCCUGAUGUAAUUGUAUGAUGAGGAUCAAGGAACUUCUGGUCCUCAUCUAUAUACUGUAAAAAACUCAUCAUACAGCACAUUUAGUCCAUAAAAUAAAUUGCUAGUAAAUAAAUUACUGGUAUGGACGAUAAACCCGCACCAUACAUUUAAAUAAAAGUAAAGGUGUGGACGAUAAACCCGCACCACCCUUUUAAAUAAAUGUAAAUGUGCGGUAAAAUAAAUUCAUAAAUUAAAUUGCUUGCUGUAUGAACGUUAAUCCCGCACCAUACUUUAAAUAAAAUUAAAUGUGCGGUAAAGUAAAUUGUGCCUGUAUGGGCACUAAUUCUGCUCCAUACUUUUAAAUGAAAGUAAAGGCGUGGACGAUAAACCCGCACCACCCUUUUAAAUAAAUGUAAAUGUGCGGUAAAUUAAAUGCAUAAAUUAAAUUGCUUGCUGUAUGGACGUUAAUCCCGCACCAUACUUUAAAUAAAAUUAAAUGUGGGGUUAAAAACCACCACUGAACAAGAUAAGGAAAGUGUUAGUAUUAGUAACGGUCUCCCACUGAUAAUAUGUUUAGUAUUACCAAUGGUCCAUUUUUGUUAAUGGUUAGUAAUAGAAAAGCAUAUAAAUAUAAUAUGAAAUAAUAGAGAAGAUAAGGGAGCAGAGACCUUAUCGCUUACUUUAGGGUCAGUGCCCUUGGCUGAGUGAUCUUUUUUUUUUUUUUUUUUUUAAUUUUAAAAAUAUAUUUAUUUAUUAUUCUUUCUUUCGGUGGGUUUGCUUUUCUUAUUGAAAGAUGCUUCAGCACUUUAGCAUUUUUUUUUUUUUUCGGUGGGUUUGCUUUUCUUUAUCGGUGGGUGCUGCUCAUCAUUGUGGCCGUCAUCAGGGGUCUGUCAAAGUUGCCUCUGCAUUUACACUGUUUUAUUCUCUGUCCUUGCCGACUGGAGAAAACCUCAUCAUCAUCCGCUGAUCCAAAACAUGUGAAGGCUGGUGUGUGGUAUAACUCGCAACCUUUUCAAUAUCCAGAACAUCAAGCUUGUCGAACAAGGCCAAAACCUGCACAGCACUUAAGGUAUAUAGUACAUGUGGGUCAUGCCCAAUGUUACCACCAAACCCACCUGAGUCAUCUUGACGUGCAGCUUCCCAAGAAGAUCAAGAGCAGUCAAACCCCAAUAUGCCCCAUUCAUUCUUAUAUGCUCCAUCACCACGGACUCAAAAGAAUCCUUCUUCUUUUCGACUAAUACAAUGAACUGAACAUGUUUCUGACUUGCCAGCUCCCCCAUCGCACUUUACUGGGUUCUCAAGAUUUUCUUUUGCUGGUUCACAAUACGAUCUUGACGGUCAAGGCCUUCUCGAGGAACUUCCAUGUGAUGGGCACGUGAUUGGCCCAGCAGAUGUGAGAGACGAGGAGGUGCGCGAGCUCGACGGAGGGCAAGGCCACGCCGGCCGAGUUGAGGCUGUUGCUGUGCUGAACCGCCCAGAGGAGCGGGUCGCUGUUCUUGUCCUAAGCGGACUUGGUGAGCUGGAGCACCGUGUCCCAUAGAUGGCUCGGUUGCUGUACGGACAGGAUUUAUGUUGUUUCUGGGUUUUCAAGAAAAGCUCUGCUGCGGUGUGGAUGAGAGAGCAGAGGAAGGUGAGAUGGGUUGGGUCUCUGAAUUUAGAGAUAGAGAAAUCAUGCUGAUAAUGUGUUAUAAAUCUAGUAAGAAAAUGGAGAGAGAAUUGGGAUAGAGAGAAAUUGGAGAAAACUGAUUUCUCAUUCAUUGAGAGUUUGUUCUUCACAUUAUUUCUGUGUGUUUUCUCAAUCUCAUUGUGUAUUUACAAGUAUGGGAGGGAGCCUUAUUUAUAGGCAUUUUGGGGGCAUUUUGGGGACUCCACUUUUACAACAGUUAAAAAAAAUUAUAAAAAAAAAAAAAGGAAAGAGAAAGUGGGGUGUUGGGGUAGAGUGGAGCAAUAGGCUAAGUUGGACUUAGUUGCUGGUUCUUGGGCUGUUGGGCUUCGUGCUUCAAAUGUUGGUGAGCUCACGCUUGCACCCAAAAUCCAUCUUUGGACACCCAUGCUAAAAUUUGAAUAAAUUUAUAGUUUUCUCUGGACAUCAAUAGAAGGAUAUUACCAAAAUAUUCCAACUACAAUCGCUUCGGAUCGGCACACAAAAUUUGAGCAGCCUGUGACUUCUGUCUUGAUUUUGUGAUCAUUUGAGUUGGUGGCUUGUGUUGGAUUUACCCCCAUCAGUCACUGGAAUAUCUAAAGAAUCAACAGGUUAGUAAGAGUCCAAUAUCAGAAUUUGACAAACUAAAAUACAAUAUAUAAUGAAUGUUUUCAUUACUAAUAUAAAAUGAGUUUUUUUAUUUAAAUUCUACAAUUCUCUUUGUUCAACCUAUAUUCUAAGUUCAUCCCGACUUCUAAUUCAAAUUUUCGCAAUUUCUAAGAAAACUCCACUAUCUUUCCAAACUAACCACUCACAGUAGAAAUUUUUUUUUAAACAAAUAAAUAAAUAAAUAUAAAUAAUAAUAAAAAACUCAUCAACUCCACACGCCGCUAUCUUACCCCUCACCACUCUAAGUUCACAUCAACCUCACGUUACUUAAAGAGAUAAAAAAAAUUAAAAAAUUAAAAAACUAUUGUCAAAUGUGUAACAACAUUAUUUUAUUAUUAUUAUUAUGUUUUUAAUUUUAAGAAUGAACUAGGAGAUUUUGAUAGAGAAAUGUUGACAGUUAAAUUGAUAUGUAAGUUACCAUCAUUAAACACUAGCCCCUUGACACAUGCUCAUGCAUGUGCCAAUUGGUUUUUUUUUUUCUUUUUUAUUUUAUUUUUAGAAUUAAUAAAAGAUAAUAGGGUAGUUAUGUUCCAUAAAAGUAGGACCUAUUAUCUUAUUUUGUUUUUAAUUUUAAUUUUUUUAAUAUUAAAAAAUGUGAAUUUACCAUAUUAUCCUCAUUUAAUUAAUAAUUUCAAUUCUUAAUGUUUGAAUUAACAAAGGGCAUUUUCUGGUAUUUUGAAUGUUUCACCAUUCUCUGCCUUUUGCUUUAUAUAUAUAUAGAUAGAUGAAGAGUGGGGGUAUGUAGGAUGUGUGUAUACUAAGGUUAGUAAUAAGUUGGAUGACCUUUUUUGUCUUUUUACACAAUAAAACUUAAGAGCUUAAUAAUUUAAGUAUUAGGAUGAAUAAAGAAAGGUGUAGGGUUUAAAUAGAAAAACUCUAUAAAAUUCCACACCUGCUAAGCUUUGUAGGUCCUUAAAAAUUGUUGUUAAUCAUAGUGAACCAAUGAUUUGUCUCUUUGAUCGGGCCUGAAUUUCACAUACGUAAAAGUUGGUCUAUAAUUGCAGACCUAAAAAGGAAACAAAUUUGUGCACUUGUUUUUCUUAAGAUUUAAAUAUACAUAGUGGAAUUUAUUACCUGUAGAAAUUGGAGUGCUUUUGAAUACCUACACAACACGAGCAAACAACAACUUUACUCACUCUUUCAAUAAAGAAUCAAUCCUAUAAAACUGUUAGAGAGGGAGAGGAUAUAGAAUUAACUAAUAAUUUGAAAGGAAAAAAAAAAGUAGUUCUCAUGAAUUACUAUACCCUAAUAUAAUAUCUGUGCAUUAUCUCCAAAAAAAAAAAAAAAAAAAAGCAACUGGUGGAAAGGGCCAAGGGGACUCAAGUACCUGGACUCUGUUUGCUCCCAUUACAAAAAAUGUUCCUUCAGGUAAGGCAAAGCCACCCACCUCCAAAUUAUGCCCAAAUAACAACAGACCCUGCAGAAGCAACAUCAUAGACAAGGAGUAAACUCAUGAGAAAAAAGAACAACAGAGGCUAGGGAGUUGCUUGUACUAAUUAUAAUUAGAACGAUAUAAUAAUAUUAAUUCCACACCUGUAGGCUGUAGGCUGUAGGCUGUAGGCUGUAGGGAAUGGACACCUUUUCUUCAAUGGUGAUGAUGUGUAGCAUAUAUAGCUUCAAUCAACUCUCCACACCAACACCAGUCUCAAGGAAAAACGCAACUGACUUGAGUUGAAUGCCAAAGGAAAAGAAAAUGUGAUAUUAUAUAUAUGGAAGAAAAGAGUUUUAUUCUUUUUAGAGAAAGAAAAAAGAAUGACACCUUUAGAAGCAGAGUCACUGACUUGAGUUUAAUCAUUUUCUCGACCACAAUUCGCCCACUUUCAACUAUUUCUCAUUUCAAGAUGAUACUUUCUCAGACUAUAUUGAAUUUGGCAGCUGCCACCGUACCCAGUCAACUAGAGAUUUAAACAUAAAUAUUAGAAAUCAUUAUGUCGUAACGGGGAAAGAAUUAGGAUCAUUAUGUCAUAACAUUCACUGUAUGUUAUGAAAAAAAGAAGAAAAAAGAAACAUAACAAAUAAUUAAGUUAAAUGUACAGUUGAUUUAAGAGCCAAAAACAAUAAAAGGAAAAGGAAAAACAUACCAUAUAUUUGUGGAAUAUGAGAAAUCUUGGGCCACUCUGAGCCGCUCUCCUUGUUGCAUCUCUCUUUUAGAAGGGGACAAUCCAAAAUGAAUAUGCGUUUUAAUUUGGUGAGACAUUGCAUAGCUUCUAGUGUAGGUAGAUACAUCAUAUUCUUGCAAAGAUGUAUAUACAGGUACUCAAGAGAUGUAAGGUUUCUCAACCACUCUGGAAGAGCCUCCAUUCCGUCAAAGCAUUGCACUUCAAGACAUGUUAGAGAAGUCAAGUGUUGAAUUUGCUCGGGCAGAGACUUGAGCUUAGGCCAACCCCAUAACUUCAAUGUUUCAAGUUGUGAUGUAACCUGAAAAGCAGGGAAUGAAUCAAGCUCCUUCCAAAAGCCACCGAUUUCCAAUGUCUUCAAGUGGGUGAGGCAGGAUGUUAUUGCUAACCCAUUGGGUAGACUUUUCAAUCCAUCGCAAGAAAAUAUCCCCAAUUCAUGGAGGUUUGUGAGGUUGUCUAAACUUGUAAUAGAUUCUACAUUCGGCAACUUGCUUAUUAUCAACACCUCAAGAGAAGAACAUGAUUCUAGCCCUAUUGGCAGACUUGUCAAUCCAUGGGAAUCUUUAAUUCUCAAUUCACGAAGGCAUGUGAAGCCGAGUAAACUUGGAACAAACUUUGGUCUCCUGUUGCAACGAAAUAUAGACAACUUCCGGAGGGAUGGGAGGCUGUGAAUCAAAGCGGAUGUUAGCAUAUCACAAUUUGAUAUUGCCAACUCCUGAAGAGAGGUAUAAUAAUCUAACCCACUCGGUAGACUUGACAACUCCUGACAGCCUGUAAUCUUUAAUUCACAGAGGGAUGAGAGGGGCUGUGUAACUGGAAUCAACUCUAGACUACCGCAAUCUUCCACAAUCAGGUUCUUAAGAGAUGUUGUGAGUAGCCCAUCAGGAAAAUAAGCAAGAAUAGGACACUUGGAAAUACGCACUGACUCAAGAAGUGCGCAAGAGCCAACUACAUCAAGAGCAAUACAAGUUAGCUCCUGACAAUCUUUUAUCUCCAAGUAUGCAAGAUUCUUGUUGUUUUUAAGCAUCCCUUCUGGCAGAGAAACAAGUCCGCUUAUGUUCCUUAUUGCGAGCGAAGUAAGAGUGGUCAGCUUAUUGCUUAUGUUUGCUAUUGGCAUGCCGCUACCCAUGGAAUCUAUCUCCAACGUCUUGAGAGAUGGGAAAUGGCUAGGAGCACUUCUCAAUUUAUCACAAUUCCUCAAAACCAGCUCCUCGAGACAAGGAAAGACCACGAUCCCACUUUCUGGCCAUUCAGUUAGGUUCCUAGCAUUGUAAAUCUUUAACCUUUUCAAUACAGGAAACGAACUACUCAUGAUCCAUGAUGGACAUUUAUCACCCAUGAAGUUGAAAAAUUGUAAAAAUUCCAGUUUACUAGGGUGUGGUUGAAGGCCUUCUAGUACCUCUUCAUCAUUGGUGAUGCUUGACCUAUCCUCUGCCCACUGAAACUUUAACUUGCUUAUGUUUGUCUUCUUCACUAAUUUUGCUUUCUUGGCUUCUUCUCCAUCUCUCACGUGCUCUAGAUUAUAGAUAGUUAAUCUGCCUUUUAACAAGUUUAAGCCAGCCAGCUCCUCUAUUCCACGACCUGUCUCCUUACCCACGAUGAAAUAUUUUAAUGUUCGGAGAUUAGUCAAUCGCCCUAUCCUUGCUGGAAAUUUCAUACCAUACGGAUAAAAAUAAAUAUGUCUCAAGUUUAUCAAAUUUUGCAGUUCUUUUGGAAACUCUUCAAGCUCGACCUCUUUCAUUCUUAAUGUUUGUAGAUUAUAAAGCUUUCCAAUGGAUUUGGGGAGUGCUUUGAUCUUUGUAUAGGAAACAUCCAGAUACCUCAAGUGUUUCAACUUUCCAAUUGCAAUUGGCAACUCCUUCAUAUAAGUUUGAUAUAAAUUUAAGACACGCAAACCUCUAAAGUUUGGUAAGAUAUCACCAAGAACUUCAACAUUCAAGAAAAGUGAGCGCAAUUUAUGAGCACCUCUUUCUGGAACUCCAUGUAGCACUGAGGUAGGAAUAUGUGCCAUAUGUCGAGUCUCAUUGGAGUCAUUACUCUUCGUUUUUGACACAAGUUCUGCGAGAUCAUGCACAAGGUCGUGCAUUUUGCAACUUGUAAUAUUACCAUACCAAUCCUUUUCAACGUCUUGAAAGAAAGAGUUGUUCAAUAGAAUAUUAAAAUAUUCAUUUCCUAUAUCCUCCAUCUCUAGAUUACGUCUGUUGGGAGGAGAAGGGUAAAGCAAUCCUUGAGCCAUCCAAAGUUGGAUCAAGUCAUCCUUUUCAAUUUCGAAAUCUUUGACAAACAUUGAGCAAUAUGCAAAACAUUGUUUCAAAUAUGGUGAUUUCAAUUUAUCAAAACUCAACUUCAAAACCGACAAGAUUCUUUCUUCUCCUUCUGGUAAAUCCCAUAUUCUACUUUCUAGAAUUGACCGACAUCCAUCAAUAUCUUGAGAACGCAUCAUAUUUCCCAAAACCUAGUGUACAUGAGUUUGAAUUUGUAUUAAAUGAUAAUAAUGAGGUAAAUUAACAAUAAUAACAUUAUAAAACGGAUCCUUAAAAUAGUCAUCAUGCACCCCUCACUUAAAAUAUUCUCAGCAUAUGCAAUCAGUAAUCCUAUUAGGUCAGUUUAGUACUUAAUUAAUAUAAAGCUACCAUAAAAUUUCAAUAUAUUUGUUCCAUAUACAAAAGAAAAAAAAUGAUAUAGAUCUAAUACUAAUGCAUGCAUAAAUCAUGAAAUUUCACUUAGAACCCCUGAAUUUUAGCAUAAUUACAGCUAGAGCCACAUGUUUCAUUUAUUGCAAUCACACCCCCUAAAUCUAAUUAGAUUAAAGAAAAAACCCCCAACAAAAUCAGGCACUACCCCCAACCAAACCCUUCAGCCACAACCCCAUCCAAGCCCAUCCUCAAUCCAUCCCCAACUAACCUCCCCGACCAAAAAUCCCACCCAACCACCCCGGCGCACCACCAAGCUCUUGUGGGUUAGAGGUUUAUAAAUGAAGAACAGAAAAGAACAAGAAGAAAAAAGUACUUCAACACAUACCUUUGCCACUAAUGGUACACCUGCACACUUUUUGGCAAUCUCCCUUCCGAUUCUCUCUUGAUCUUCAGUCAAAACAACACUCGCAUCUAGAAACGCUUUAUACUUCAAUAUGCACCAGCAUUGAUCCUCCGAUAAUUUUCCCAGAACACAUGUAGGAAGUGUUUGUACAAUUGAUGAAACACUCACAUUGCGAGUAGUGACAAGGAUUUUGCUUGCUUUAGUGCUUGUAGCAUUCAACAAGCAACUCAUCAAAUCGUCCCAUUUGCUACGAUCGUCGUUCCAAACAUCGUCAAGCACGAGAAGAUAUGUCUUCCCUUUCAAAUCUUCUUGCAGGUUUUCACAUAUUGUUGCUUUACCCUUUAUCCCAGCUUUCUCUGGUUUAAGACAUUCCAAGAUCUCGCUUAAAAUCUUUUUGACUUCAAAAGGAGUAGAUACACAUACCCAUAUUUUUUGAUCGAAGUGUCUACCUAUCUCAGGAUCAUUAUAUACAGAUUUAGCCAAAGUUGUCUUGCCCAAGCCUCCCAUCGCCACAAUGGCCAUAACAGAAAGACAAUUGUCUUGGUUCUUGCCAGAGUUGAUCAGGGUUGUAACUAUGUCCGACGCAACCUCCUUCCUUCCAACAAUGUACUUUUCAUCUUGAUCAAAGUUUGAGACGGUUUCCCUGUCAAGUCCUCCAAUAUCAUGAGAUGUUGCAUUGACCAGUGUUGACCUAUCAACCAGUCCAAUACUAGCUGCCUCAUUCUUCAGGUUUGCCAAAGAUGCAUUGAUGUUUUUAAUUUUAUGUGCCAUUUUGCGACGAAAUGCAAUGGGAUUGUGGCGUGAAAAGAAGUUGAGCACCUUGUUCUUGAUCUGAUUUUGGAUCUCCACUUUCCGCCGGAGAAGUUCAUAUUCAUAUUCAUCCAACACAUCAUCUGCUUCAUGAGCUAUGCCUUCCAGAUCCUUCACCCACAUCUCCACCCUCUCACCCCGAACUUGUAAAUGUUGUGCAUCUCUGAGCAUAGCUUCCAACUUGAAUAAUGAGUCUCGUAGAGUUGUUAGCUCUCCUUUGAAUCCCCAGAGAAGACUGAGUUCUUGCUCUGCAAGUGAAGCCACCCUCGUCAGAAUUCCCUCAGCACCAAAAGUAAGAAACUCUGCAGCCAUAUUUUCUUUCAGUGUUGCUCAAGACAGAGAGCAGAAUGCUUAGUUUGGGUUAGAAAAGUAGAGCAAAAUUGAGGACGCAAUGUAUCUUUGAGAAGGUUGUGAGGGAUUUGUAGACAAGAAGGUGCGCAUAUGGCUGGCGUAAAAAGAUAUAAUAAUUGAAGAGAGCAUCAAGUGCUGUCGGUUGGAUUAUCGGGGUUGUUUGGAAUACUUUUGAAAAAAUAAUAAUGAGAAUCGGCACCAAGUCAUUCUUUAUCCCGCUCCAGUCCAAAACCAAAAAGUCACAAGAAAUUAAAAAAUUUAUAAUGGCGACGUGGUGGGGACCUCGGAUUUGAUGAGACAUUAGGCUACUGUUAAUUACUUUUCUUGUGUCCGUAGACGCUUUUUGAUUAAUCGAUGACAUUGUCGUUGUUGAGAAAUAAUCAAAGAAAGUUGUUAAUAGCUCAUCAAAUUUGCACGUCAUUAGGUUCCAUGAGGAGCGCUUGCCCUUAAACGAUUAUUAAAAGAUGCUAAGUGCUUAAUAAUCUUUUUGAAGCAGUCAAAGUUGGACAAACAUUAUUUUAACUCUAUGUUCAAGAGGGCCUGGGACAAUUAUUUUGAAUUUUGAUUCUUGAAUAAAAUUUUAAUGCAAAGUCCUUUAUAAUGAAUACACGUCAACGUAGGAAAUAAAGCAAUGUUAUGUUACAAAUUGAAACGAAACAAAAUUAUAAGACAGUGUUUUAGUUAUAAAUACAGUGGCAUAUAGUAAGUAUUACGCUACAAAACUAUAAGUUAUAAGUAGAGAAUCCGAAUUUUUUCCAACUGAAUUAUUUGUUAACACGAAAAUCGAACUUGGAAUCUUUAUCCUUUACCUCAAUUGGGUCUAAUUUAAUGCUUAUUCAAUGGUGAAAACACUUCUUGCUACUAUAAUAAUACUACUACAUUUGAGCCAAGACUCAAGUCUUAGGCUAUCUUCAGUCAUAGGGCUAAAUAUCGUCUAGGGCUAAAUAUUUAGCCUCCAAAAUAUUAAUUUUUUAAAGAUAGUAUAGGGCUAAAUUUUUUCAUCUCCAGCCAUGCAAGGCAAUAUUUUAGGGUCCUUUAUAUUUUAUUAUUUUGAGAAAAACUAUGGUACAACACUCAUGCAUUCCACAACUAUGUAUUGUUUAAUUUAAUUAAACUACUAUUUAGAGACAAUAUUCCAUGACCAAUAAUUUUUUUUAAUUUUUUUUAAACAACACUUGAAAACAUUUAAAAAGGUGACCACAUUUAUUUAUUAUUAUUUUUUAAAAGGAUGAGUUUCAAUGGUCUGACCUCCAACGAUCAUGACUAGUAAUUUUUUAUAAUUUUUUUACAAAUUGAAAAUAUUUGAAAAGGUGAUCACAUUUUUUUUUAAAAAAAAGUUGGGUUUCAAUAGUCUGACUUCCAAUGGUCAUGACCAAUAAUUUUUUUAAAUAAAUGUUUCUUAAACAACACGAAUUGAAAACAUUUAAAAAGGCUUUUAAAAAUAUAUCGAUGAAGUCAUCACUUUUAUUGUUGGCUGUUGGAUAUGAAUUUGCACGAGAUAAUUCGUGUUGUUGCCCACACUUAAUAAUUUAUCUUCUUCAAAAGCACACACCUGAACCCUAAAGCUGGGCCAAAUAUGGCCCAGUUGGAGGGCAAAAUGGCUAAAUUUGGCCAAAAUUUUAUUUAGCCCAUGACUGGAGAUGAGUUUCGCAUUAUUUUAGAGCUAUAUUUGGGAUAUAUAGGGCUAAAUGUAAUCCAGGACUAAAUAUUUAGCCCUCUAAAAUAUUAAUUUUUUAAAAAUAAUGUAGGGUUAAAUUGAGAUACUUAAAUACAAAUCGAAUCUAAAUUCAAAAACUAAUAAAACAAUUAAUCCCAAUAAUAAUUUAGGAGAGCGCCAAGUGCUGUCGGUUGGGCUACUAAUCCCACGAUGAUUGUGUGGAAUUAUUGCAUGUAAUAAUUGUGUGUGGAAUACUUUUGAAAAAAAAAUUAAAAUUGUGCAUGGAAUAAUUGUGGAUAGAUAUCCUUGUGCUUAGAUUCUGGAUGAGGUUGUGGACGGGCUUAAAAUGAAAGGAUGGUAUAGUUGUUUUGUCCAUUUGUGAUUAACAAAUUUUCUUUGUAUAUUGUCACCCAAAUACAUAAACUAAAUGCAAGGGACUUGUAUUAUAACUGGUUAAAAAUAUUUAUUCAUAAAUUGAAGGUAUUAAGUUUAAUUACACUUUUUUUUAGAAUUGCUUUUUAUUAAAAAAAAAAAUACAUGAACUAAAUGAACCGUUUAUCACGAGAAUCUUAAUUAUUAUCAAAUUCCAGAUUUUUACAGGAAACUUACAUUGUGAAUUUACUUUAACCACCAGGACCUGCAACUAAAUAUAAUCCCAUCCCAAUUCCAAACAAUCAAUUUCACAUCUGUAAAAUUUUCUCGUUAUGGCCCUCAAUUUCACUAAUUAUGCGUAUUAUCUCAAAAUUUACAACGAACAAAUAAAUUCCACCGGGGGUGUCCGAAUGACUAAGCAGUACAGGAACAGAAAUAGAAAAGCUUAUAUGUGAUUGCCAUUUCAAGUUGCAACUGUUGUUACUCUGCCUUCCUCUCAAUCUCUUCCAGUGCUUCCCACAAUUUUGUCUCCUCAAAGUCUCUUCAAUAACGAAGGCCACUACUGGCAUUCCAGCUGCUACUCCAGCUUUCACCCCUGAAACAGAAUCCUUAACAACCAAAAACAGAACACAGAUGAGUGCAAGGCAUAUCAAAAACUUACUGGAGAAUGCUGUUGUUAGUAUUGCAAAGCACACAGUUCUGAGAGCCGAACCUCAAAUGCGAAAGGGUCAGGAAAUGGUUUCGCUCCAUCACAUUCAUCUCCAACAACAACAAAUUCAAAGAAAUUCAAGAGCUCCACCAUUUGGCCUUGGAGCAUUUGUCCCUGCAGUCUGUAUCAAGCCUUGAUUUUCAAUCCAUUGGUGCAACUUGUGGAGGUCCUUAACAGGUUCUACUUGUUCAGAUGCCAAUCUGAUCUCAUUGGAUGAGAGAAAAUGAAACAGAUGAAGCAUUUUUUUCUUUCAGAAAACUAUUGGAACACUCUGAGUAUAUAAUUGAAAAGCAUUUUUUUUCUUUCCAAAAACUGACAAGAAAAGACGACCCCCUGUUAUUAAUACCACAUUAUGUCCAAAUCAAUAGGGUGUGUGAUUAAUCUAAAACGUCACAAAUUUUGUCUAGCUUAAAACAAAAUAAAAAAGCUUCUGAUUUUGUUGCAUAGCAGUUUACUUGAGUUGCACAUUCUAAAACAAGAAAUUCUUAGCAAUCUGAUGUGUAACAUAAAUACGAAAUACAUAAAAAAUUAAAAAUAAGAAUAAAAAGAGUUGAUUUUUUCACUUCUCUUUUGUUCACUUGGAUGCUGAUUCUUGGAUUACACUUAUAAAAACCAAAAGGUAAGUGGACAAAAACAGAGUGCGAAAAUCAGCAGCCAAAAAAAGGGAAAGAGAGUGGAGCAAUAAGAUAGGAUGCUGGUUCUUGGGUUGUUGGGCUUGGUGCUUUAAAUGUUAGGAAGCUCACAUUUGUAUCCAAAAUCCAUCUUUGGACACCCAUGUUAAAUUUUAAAUAAAUUUUUAGUUUUCUUUGGACACAGAAUUUGACAAAUUAAAAUACAAUAUAUAAUGAAUGUUUUCAUUACUAAUAUAAAAAUUUCCACUUGUUAGGGUUUGUAGGUUCCUUAAAAAUUAGUGUUGGUCAUAGUGGACCGGUGAUCUGUCUCUUUGAUCGGGCCUGAAUUUCACAUACGUAAAAGAUGUUCUAUAAUAGCAAGCCCAAAGAGGAAACAAAUUUGUGUACUCUUUUUCCUUAAGAUUUAAAAAUACAGAGUGGAAUGUAUACCUGUAGAAAUUGGAGAGCUUUUGAAUACCUUCACAACACAAGAGAAACCAACAACCUUACUUUUUCCAGAAAGAAUCAAUCCUAUAAAGCUGUUAGAAAGCUAAUAUAAUAUCUGAGCAUCAUCUUCAAAACAGAAAACCAUCUGGUGGAAAGUACCUGGACUCUGUUUGCUCCCAUUACAAAAAAUGUUCCUUCAGGUAACAAAUAAAAAACCCACCUCCAAAUUAUGCCAAAAUAACAAUAGACCCUACCUGCAGAAGCAACAUCAUAGACAGAGAGUAAACUCAUGAGAAAAAAGAACAACAGAGGCUAGGGAGUUGCUUGUAUCAAAUACUAAUUAUAAAUACGACAUAAUAAUAUGAAUUCCACACCUGUAGGCUGUAGGCUGUAGGCUGUAGGGAAGGGAGACCUUUUCUUCAAUCAACUCUCCACACCAGCACUUGUCUCAAGGAAAAAAGCAACUGACUUGAGUUGAAUGCCAGAGGAAAAGAAAAUGUGAUAUAUGGGAGAAAAGAGUUUUAUUCUUUUUAGAGAAUGAAAAAAGAAUGAUACCUUUAGAAGCAGAGUCACUCAGUGACUUGAGUUGAGGAUCAUUUUCUCAACAACAAUUCACACCACUUUCAACUAUUUCGCAUUUCAGGAUGAUACUUUCUCAGACUAUUGAAUCUGGUAGCUACAACCGUACGUGGUCAACUAGAGAUUUAAACAUAAAUAUUAGAAAUCAUUAUUUCGUAAAGGGGAAAGAAUUAGAAAGUAAUUAAGUUCAAUGAAAUGUAGGUGAAGAAAAUAGAAUGCAUAGUUGAUUUAAGAGCCAAAAAUAAUAAAAGCAAAAAGAAAAACAUACCAUAUAUUCUUGGAAUACGAGAAAUCUUAGGCCAUUCUGAGCCGCUCUUCUUGUUGCAUCUCUCUUUUAGAAGGGGACAAUGCAAAAUCCAUAUGCGUUCUAAUUUGGUGAGGCAUUGCAUAGCUUCGAGUGUAGGUAGAUACAUCAUAUUCUUGCAAUAAUAUAUAUCCAAGUACUUAAGAGAUGUAAGGUUUCUCAACCACUCUGGAAGAGCCUCCAUUCCGUCAAAGGAUUCCACUUUGAAAAAUGUUAGAGAAGUGAAGUGUUGAAUUUGUUCAGGCAGAGACUUGAGUUUAGGCCAACCCCAUAACUUUAAUGUUUUAAGUUGUGAUGUAACCUGAAAAGCAGGGAAUGAAUCGAGCUCCUUCCAAAAGCCACCGAUUUCCAAUGUCUUCAAGUGGUUGAGGCAGGAUGUUAUUGCUAAUCCACUGGGUAGACUUUUCA
rnacentral:lncRNA from 1 species